rnacentral:lncRNA from 1 species
AAUUAAGGGUUGGGUUUAUGCUACUCAUAUUUAGUAAUAGGUUGUUCUAGUAAUUGUCAUAAUUAAAAGUGAUCAACUAAAAUGCUACCGCAGUCAAACCAAGUCAGCUUUACCUUGUUUUAAGCUUUGCAUGUCAUUUACUUUCCGUCUGUGCUUGCUGAGUUCGACAUGAGCUCACCCUUGCUAUAAUCAUUAAAGGUUGCUCGGACGAUCAGGAUUACAAUUGUGAUUUCCCUGAGGACUACCCUGAGUCUCCCGGUUGUUAGGCUCGUGUGGUUCUACCGUCGACCUUCCUGUGGCAAGGUGGUCCUGCUACGUCGGCGUUUAGUUUUCCCUUUAUUUAUGGAACAGUUUAGUUUAUGUUUCCCCUCCGCACUUUGAUAAACAUUUGGCUUGUAAUAAUGGUACUUUUACUCUCAUUUAUGUAAUUCGUUUGAACACUGUGUUUUGUACCAUUGAUGAUGUCGGUCCAUGUGUGUGAAUUUGAGAUCCUGGCGCACAUGUGAUUUGGCACCCGAAUGCUCUUUUACAUCCGGAUGUGACAUGCAAGGUAGGCACUAAGUGCCACAACAAAGUUAGUAAAACGUUUACCACCACCAAACACAACUACCAGGGUUCAGACCUAACCAUCCACUAGAAAAUAAAACUACGACACAUUCCACGCUUAGCAGAAAUAACAUCGAGCCACUCACUUUCUCAUGCAGAUGGAACAACUCCUGGAUGGGGACGCUGCUCGCUGAAGUGUGCCGCACAUAUUUACACAGGAAAGACAGAUCGUAAAAAUAUACAAAAUCAUCGGCCAUUAAGAUCAUCUAGCAGAAAAAAUAAAAUAAAACAAGGCAAAUGGUUCAACACCAACAUAUUGCAUAUUAUCAAAACUACAAUUGCACUGCUACAUACUUGCAAUUUACAUAAAUUACAAUUAUGAUCAGCACCGGAAGACAACUUGUAAGAAAUCACCUGAUGUUUUUAGGCUAAACUCAAAAUACAAAUAGUAUAGCAAGCUUGUACAACCAAAUUGCAUAUAGUCAGAAUGACAAUUGCGGUUCUCUGUAUAUGCAAUUUAUAUUAUUUUGGUUUGCAAUUCUUUAGAUGAGCUAUAUACAUAGUUCACUGCAAAAAUAAUAUACAGUAACACAGAACAAUAGCAUACUGACAUAAAACAGUGCGGAUGCAAGUAUGCAACCACUGCGGAUCCACUAAUGUAAACUCAGUCCUUUUACAUUCUGUGUUUCUAGAAGGGAAGCACAUUCAUUCUUAGUUGAUGUCUUAAGAUUUAAGAAAAGGCAACGUUGUUAUUCCUAAUGCUACGUUUCAUAGAACAUAAUUCAUCUGCUCAUUGACCUUUGGGAUGAAAAAGGGGUGGUGUAAGAAAUUAAUGAGGUAAAGUUAAGUCUUGUAAUGAAGAAAAAGGAUCAGAAAAUCUUACAACUCUGAAAAGUGAGUUGAGGCUUCCAAAUAGAUCACCCAAUUGUUGAGGAAGUGAGUUAUGACUGAAUUACUGCAUAAAAAGUUUCAGUGAAUUGUACUUUUCCAACAUGAUAAAUAGUAUAUUCUGUAAACAAAAUGUAACAAGGUAAUGCCACAUUGGUUAGCAGCUUAUAUGUAUUCAAUCAAAGCCAUAUUUUAUAUAGAGUAUGGAAGGUUGCCAAUGAAAUAGUUGCUACCCAGAUUCCUGCAUCACCAUUCACAGUGAAAUGCCAGAUACGGUCUUCUCAACCAUAUCCGUCGAGUGUCCAAAGGAUAACAUAGUUAAAAAUAGUAUAGUAGGAGCAGUACUGCAGUUUAUAGGAUAAAACAUAUUACUAGACACACAUAGAAAAGACUGCAUGUGGUACAUAUUCACAUCCAAGUAUCUCCAAAAUAACAACAUUUAGUAAGAAACAACUAGGAGUCAGAACCCAAAAAUGAGCUUUCUAAAUCUUAUAGUUAGCAAUCAACAAACUGAAGUUAACAUCCAGUAAAAAAUUGUAGAUAGUCUAGAAUCUGGAGGUCCCAUAGAACACCAGCAAAACAAAUUUUUCCUCUAUCUAGGAAACUGGAUGUCUGAUGAACAACAGUCAAACAAAUUUAUCUCGGCACAAGCCAGGAACCUAGAGGUCUGAUGAGCGUCAGCUAAACAAUGUGCUCACACCAGCUAUGAACGUAAUAAAAAAUAAGUAGUAGAAAAAUCAUAAGUUGCAGACCAAAAACUCUGAAGCAAAGACUGGAGAUCUAACUUUUGAUUACCAAUCAAGCGAAUGUGGAUGGGGGACCAAAAGCGAAAGGCAAGUAGAGACCAAAAACUCAAGCAUGGCAAUGCUGGCAACCUUUUGCUAAAAUUAAAUUAAGUGGAUUGCUCUAACUGAAGCAGAUCAAAGCAAGACAAAUUAUUAAAAAAAUAGAACAACUUUAUAAUAAACUGAACUCCUAAACCAUACAUGCAAAUUCUGAAGCUUAUGUAACUGAAAUGCUUAUCAACUUGAAACAACUGCAUCAGGCAGGCAAGGCGUUCAGGGAAGCACAGAGAUCAAAAGGAAGCAGGCAAGGCGUCAUCUGCAUCAGGCUUUCCGGCGGGACACUAGAGCUGGUGGAGACGAUCUUGUUGCGGCGCAAGUCGAUGCCAAGCACAUACUGGCGUUUGAGCUUCAGCUCGGUUCCCCAGACAAUCUGCUGAAGGCGUCCUUGGACGACGACGCGUUCCUCGAUGUCGUUGACGACGGCGUAGACGACGCUGUCCUCCUCAUCACCCGCGGCGCUCAGCACGGGGCACAGAGGCGUGCGCGGCGGCAGGUUGAGCGCGCGGUACUCCUCCGUCGCCCAGAGGUCCUCAAGCGGGCACACGCCGUCUUCCUGCCACUCGCCGCCGAGGACGUCAGGCCGCGACGCCGACGACGACAGGGUCCAGGUGGUGAGCCUGAACUGCUGCGAGUUCCAGCCUUCCAGCAAGCCUACCAUGGAGACGACCUUGAUGCGGCCGCCGACGCAGGCGGCGGAGCGAGACUCCUCCAUGCGCGGACGGUACGGGUAGUCGGACCAGCCGAACGCGGGGCACCCGUCGGGCAAGGGGAUGAACCGGAGCACGGGAGGAUCCUGGUGCGGGUUGGUGCAGACGACGAUGCCGUGCAGCAGAUCCACCCAGCACAGGCAGCCACCGGGACCGGCGAAGGAGGUGUCGCCUUGGAACAUGUGCUUGUCGGGCGCCCAGCACACCUCGCGGGGGAGAUGGACCUCCUUCGUGACCCACUGGGGCGGCGUGGGCUGUUCCUGUUCGUCGGAGCGCCACAGGAGGAGCACCGCGUCGGGGUUGGGGAAUCGGCGAUGAGGUGUCGUGGCGAGCUCGGCGAGGAGGUAGGCGGGGGACGAGGAGGAAGGGCUGGAAACGGCGGGGUGGUGGCAGCGCAGGAUCACGGCUCCCGACCCGAAAUCCCCCAACCAAAUCUCUACCCCUCUGACCUCAACAAAGUACAGAACCACGAAACAGGGGAGCGCAAAACGAGAAUCACCUUCGGCAGCACUCUGCGUCGAGGAGCGCGAGUUCGCUGGACCAAAUCGCCGCCGCACCGACAAAAUCGCCUUGGGUGCGCGUCAUGGGGAAAAGCGUCGAGGGGAGGAAGACGAAAUGAAACACUAAGAAAUGGAGAGGAGCGGUUCCCAAUUUUUUAACCGUACCCAAAAAAGUGGGCCCUAUAGAUCAGAGAAAGAAAUGGCGGUGGCAAGGAUACACACACGAUGCCAAUCCAACGAACAGAAAAAACGUGUGCCAACACAACCAAAAACACAUGAGUGUGAUAUAGCAUUUCUGUAUCCCAAAACUACUCAAAGCAUUUCAUCAUGCAUGUUUCGCUAUGAACCACCUAAAACUUCAAAUAACCUCUCUAUACAUGUCCCAAACUCCCAAUUAUUCAUCACACAUAACGCGUGGUUGGUUUGUUGCCCAUCCCAGUCAGGUUCAUGCAUGCCAGAUUGCCAGGCCCAGACCCACACUAGUAUAGUGGUAAGGCUAGAUGGAUGCAACAGGAGUACAAUAGAGCCUGGAAACAUGUACGAAGUUGUUUGGACGACCUGCAUGCAACAACAACUCGCAUAGCACAAGUCUUUUUAGCCUCCUCAGGCAUCUGGUUGCACCCAGCUGGCCAGGCUCUAGAGAAACGCAAAUGAACUCAAGAUCUACUCCCUCUAUCCUAAAUUAUAAGUCAUUUUAAGAAUAUUAGAGAGUCAAAAUAUUUUAAAUUUGAUCAAAUCUAUAUGGUAGGAUACUAGGAUAAUAACAUUUAUGUAUUAACUAGGUAUCAUUAGGUUAUUCAUUAUUUUUAUAGUAUAUCUAUUUGAUGCCAUAAAACUUUGUAAUUUUUUUGAUAAACUUGAGAUGCUUUGACUAUCUAAGAUUCUUGGAAUGAGAAUGACUUACAAUUUGGGAUGAAGGAAGUAUUUGUUUGCUAAGACAUGUCUUAUUUGCCAAGACAUGCCUCGCCUGCGAAUGAGUUGGGCUAGGGCAUCCCUAGGCUGUGCAUAACGGUGCAAGUGCAACUUGCCAUGUUUAGUGGUGGUGUCCUAGGUGGGCCUGGUUUUGAGAAGUUUUUGUAUUGUUUGUUUAGCUGCAUGAGAGGUGGGUCCUAGCAUAACUAUCAUCAGUUGCAUCACCUAGAGAUCAUGUUUGUUUGUCUAGUUCGCUCACUCAUGGAUGGGUGCAGUUACCCCCUAUUUUAUAAAACCCCUUGGAAUCAACGAUUAUCAUCAGAACCGACCCUGAGGGGCGUUGAGCUGUGCCUCCAUGCUGGCUCCCGACUACAAGGGACCCAAUCCUAGAUUCGUAAGUUGGUAUAGGACUUGUUUGAGAUAACUUCAAGUCUAGAAAACUAGAUCUAGAGCACCAGAUCCACCUUUGAGUAGCACCAACUUUGAUCUAAGAUCACAUUGUUAUUGAGAGAAGUGUUUGAGAGAGCACCAUGGUGAAUUUGCUAGCCUGACCCAAAAAUGGCCCAACAAUAGCCCACCAUUGGGAGCUCCUCCUCCCUCUUUGUGUCAAUGACACCCUGGACCCACACGCUAGUUCCUUGAAGAGGACUGAGGGCACACACACCGAGCCGAGCAAGGGCUGCUCACCAGCGCGAGGACGGACGAGGGCAAGCUCAUGUUCGGUGGCGUGGAUGGCAGCCUGGCGGCGCUUUAGCGUGAGGCAGGGCGGGGCUAGGUCUCUACAGUCAGCGCUACCCAUGUUGGUGGGUAAUUACACCCUAACUUCAUGUGGAGUAUAGAUCCUAUAUUUUCUCAGAGCACCUGAAAUUAAUGGAUCUAGCCCCAAAUUCAAAAUUCUGGUGGGUUUAGAUCUGUUGGUGGGUAGAUAUUUGACUGACAAAUUGAGAUCUAGAGGUGAUUUUGGUAGAUUUGGAGUACUUGGAGCUAUUCCGAAGAGGGCCAUAGUAUUAUUUGUAUGGCCCCAAAGCUAGGAGCCCAUGAAGCAGGAAAGGCACGUGUGUGCUGCCCAUUUGUGUUCUAUCGCGUUAGACUUGGCUAAUCAUCUUCCGCAUGUGACUCCAUGUUCUGCCCUUUCGCCAUGCAGUCGCAACUCCAUUCUCCGCUGCAACUCUACGACAGUGCGCUUGUGCUGCCAUCGCCAAUCGGCUUUGCGUGGUGCGCCUGUGCUUCGUGUGCUGGCAGCAACAACAAGAACCGGUGAGCGGUGGCUGCACUACAUCUUUGCCGAGGGCCUCACGCCUUCGGCAAAGGCUUUGCCGAGGCUGCCCUCGGCAAAGAGCCCUCGGAAAAUUUCCCGUCGGCAAAGGGAUCUUUGCCGAGGGCCGUUUGUCAGGCACUCGGCAAAGAUUUUGCUGAGGGCUGACGCCGACCUUCGGGGAAAAAAAGAUGUUGUUAGGCCACAGGCUGCAACUGACGACGUCUUUGCCGAGGGCCCAACGUUGGCGAGGGCCCAACGGGCUGCAAAGAAUUUUUUAAAUUUUUAUUUGGGUAAUUUCGUUGCCGAGGGUCCCCAUGCUGGCCCUCGGCAAAGAAUUUUUAAAUAUUUAUUUAGGUAAUUUCUUUGCCGAGGGCUACCAUGCAGGCCCUCAGCAAAGUCUUUUUUUUUAUUUUUUCUGGAGAAUUCUUUGUCGAGGGUCUUGACUAUAGCCCUCGACAAAGAUGUUUGGGUUUUGUGCACCGGACGUUACCACAGACUCAGAAUUUUUUGAAAUUUUUAUCAUAGCCUCCACAUGUGAUAACAUGUUAUGUCGCCAAGUUUCGUGAUUUUCUGAGUUUGUUUUCAUUUUAUAUAUUCAAAAAACAAUUUCACGCAACUUCGUCAACAUGUUUCGGGGGGUAAACGUUCGAUAUUUCAUGUGGCUUUCUGCAUACGGCCUGGAAAUGCACUAACAAUCAUGAAUGUGAAGAUUGAAAUAAUUAAAUCAUAUUAUUUAAUGCACCUGUAGUUUAAAUUUGAAAUUUGUCGAAAAAUUCAACAAAUUCAAAAAAUCCAAAAAAUAUACCAAAGUUAUUUCAAAAUGAACCAAACUUUGGCAUGUAGUUUAAAAUAGUGUAGGUGUGACAAAGAAAGAAAAAAAACAUGGAUAAAAAAACAAAAAAAAAUUGCCGAGGGCCAACGCCAGACACUCGGCAAAGAGGGGUAUUGCCGAGGGCAGGCUGGUGGGCCCUCGGCAAAGUCUGACCUCCGGCAGCGCUUUACCGAGGGCUUAACUCCGGGCCCUCGGUAAAGCCUAACGCCCAGAGCCGCCGUUACUCUGGGCCCACACCGCCGAGCGCCCCUUCUUUGCUCGACCGAGGGCGUUUCUCUGCUGAGGGUCCGGCCCUCGGCGAAGAAGCCUUCGCCGAGAGUCCCUCAUUGCCGAGGGCCGGCCCUCGGCAAAGAUGACCUUUGCCGAGUGUCCGAGAUCCGGCCCUCGGCAAAACCGAAAACCCUCGGUGUCGCUGUUUCGAGUAGUGCUGGUGGCGCCCACGGCCCACUCUCCGUUCCUGGCCUGCGUACUUACAUAGUAAUGGAGGUAAUAAAUUAUGUUUGUGGUAUGACAAGCAUAUGUGUUUAAUCAAUAUUUAAUUUGCUUUUGUCCCCGAUCUUUAUUCUUUAUAUUUGGGAUUUAGCCAUUUCGGCCCUUAUGGUUAUGGUGCAGCACACAUGUUUGUGUAACAUUGAAUUGUCUGAAAUUCUAAAAUUGAAUUGACUAUUGCAUAUUUUCUUAAAUCACUUACUAAUUUCUAAAUUUACGGUGAACUCGUGUUGCCUAAAAAGUAUGCAUCUGGAAGUGAAAAAAGAUAUAAAAAAGAAGAGAAAUAUAGAGGCCUUGAUACAAUCACAAAGAAGAAUUUUUUAAUGUAUUACAUCUAUUAGAAACAUCAUUAUAUUAUUAGAGUUAUUAUUAGAAAUAUCAUAAUAUUAUUAAAGUUAUAUUAAAGAGCAUGUCUUUCUAGCUCUGCUCUAGGUCACUAAAUUCACAGGACACUAAUUACCAUAGAUGAAAAACAAUAUUGAUUUAACUUAGCAACAAACAUUAGAACCCUCUUGUUGACCUUAACAUCAACAGUAACGAUUUAACUUCAACCAAGUUACAGAAAUACUAAUACACGAUGUCUAAAUACUAUAGUUGCAUGGAUGAACCACACAUGGUCAUCAUUUUGCAAAAGGCACAGAUAAAGAGGCAAACAAGAACAAUGCCAACAAAUUGCAAAGAACAAAGCUCAUAGUACCAAUAGGUGGUAAUGAACAGAAGGCAUGCAAUAUUUUGAAUUGAUACUUGAGUUGAAAAAUCAAACUACAUUUGCAGUGACUAGCACCAGGAUAACCAUCACUUGGGCCUGGCAUCUAUACCAGUUGGGGUAAACUCUAGUUCGGCGCGCCAUGAACACAACAAACCAAGCACACACAUUGAUCUGCAACAAAGACCACAAUGCCUCAAGUGCUUGUUACAUAGAAACCACUUAAUUAGGAUUAUUGUUGUCACAUCACUAGCACCGUAGUGCAUUCAAUAAACGAUAGAAAAACUUUAGAAGCCUUAAUCUAGAGUGCAGCAGAGUCAAUGAAUGAGUCUGCAUUUGCAUCAAAAAAAUGAAUGGGGGUUUGCAUUGGAGGUCAACAAUUUGAUUUAGUUUGAACCGAUGAUCUCAAAAGGCAACCUGUUGUAUUGCAUCCAUCAUGUAAGAAUAUCAAGGUAGAUAUCAUAGGCACAAUCUGUGGUCUUAAAUUAAGCAAAUUGUUUGGACAAAAAAAGGAAUCACUAGUGGCUCUACUUCACUGUAAUAAAUACCUCAAGGUUACAAAAAAAGGCUCGCAUAAUCUAUGGCCUUAGAUUCAGCAAAUUGUUUAGAUAACAAAGGAAUCACUAGUGGCUCUACUUCGCUUUAAUAAAUACCUCAAGGUCACAAAAAAAUAGCUGAAACAAGCAAAAAAAAGGCAAACAACUCAAUAGACAAAUAGGGGUCAUGUUUGUUUGCCUGGAAGAAGGCAGUACUAGUACACUAAGCUAAAUGCAUCUAGUUAUCCAACAAUGACCAUGACAAUGAAAUCAUAAUAUUAUAGAUAGUCAAAAUGCAAUAUUACAUAGAGUCAAAGCACAUAGUUAGUAGUUACCCAGAGAAAGCACAAUAUUAACAACAAACCAACAAAUUCAGCAACAACAAUAGUAGUGCCACCUCAUCCUAGUGUGUGCGCUGUCAUGAUAGGCCAAAAUCAAUAAAGACUAACAACAAAGACCAAAAUACAUCAACAACAUAGAUUGUAAGACCAUAUAAAGCAAUAAUUGAACAAAACACUACAAAUCUACACAACAUGGAUCAUAUCAUCAAGUAAUAUAAGUAAGCUCAGGUUCACAUCACAUGGCUUUUGGGAACACAAUGCUCAAGUGUUCACAUAGCCUACAAUAGAGAUGCAUCCAGUAGGAGCUCCACAAUACAUGUACCAUGUAGUAUUGUGGUUUGGAUAUGGUACAUCCUGUAGUAGUGGUGGCUCGGUAUUCCUCACAACGAGCACCACUCAUAUGACGGCGGGAGACGCUAGCGCCCUGGCAGCAGUGGCGAGGGCGAUGGGGCGGGGCGGAUCCAGCAGUAGCAGCCUCCAUUUGUGGCAGGUCCUACGACGGCGAGCUCGAUCCGGUGGCGGCGACCUUGAUCCGUGGCUGAUCUGGUGGAGGGACGUGGUGGGCACCUCUAGGUGUGGAUGCAGGGCCUCCACCAGAUCUAGCACUCCUCCGGGUGGAUCUAGGAUGGCGGCGGCGGCAAGACCGGGCUCAACAUCGGGCCUAUAUGGGCUGGUGUUGGGCUCAACUUUUUUUAUUAUUUUAUUUUGAUUUACAGAGGCGGGUAAAAGCAACGUCCUCCAUUAAUCACGGAUUAACCGUGACCUUCCAUUGGAGGUGGUUGCAAUGCCUGCCUCCAUUAAUCCAAAACGCCCAUCACCAUUAAGUUUUCUGUAGUAGUGCACCCCCCAAAUGAGAUACCAAGGCAUUCCCAAAACCUGCCUUGUUGCACACGAGACUACCAACAUUAGUAACCAUACGUUAGAGAUGGAGAGUCGUUAGGGAGGGUGGAGAAAUCGUACUCUCAACUUUAUCCCUCUCUUGCUUGCCAUAGGCAAACAACCUACAUGUAGUAAUUCUUGGCCAGGAAGGUCCUAACUCCUAAGUGAAUGAACCCUAUGGCUGCCCACCAUGUUCAUAAACCCCUUAGCUUGGGACUUGCUGCAAUAUCCUUUGUUGAAUAGCAUGAUACAUGUCUGCAUUGAAUAGGCCCAGUCUCCCUUAGGGCAUUGGCAACAUUGUUGAUACCAUCAUUCACGUUAGUCAUGAGUAGGAUCUCAUUCUUAUUGAAGUAUGACCUUUUUGUGUUUACCUCCACCAUUUGAGGUCAACACAUGCCUUGUUCCCUCCCCCAACUCAGUCUUUUUCAUCACCCCUUUCAAUUAACUGAUGUGCCUUUCAGUCUGCAAGCAGUACUGCCAGCCUAUAUAAAGCUCACCCCAAGAGGUUUAUUGGACCCAUGGGCAAAUCGGCCUGUUGCCAUAUCGCUGCCAAAGAUGAUUUCCAUCUCAACAUAGAACUUGAUGGAGGGUGUUGAGUAGCUCAGCAUCUUUAGGAUGGUCCUACGGUAAGGGAAAUCAAGGAACCAGUUAGCUAGUCAAUGUAUUUGUGAGCUUGUUAAAUAUGUGAACAAAAAUAUUUAUAUUCAACACUUACCUUAAUGUGCCCAAGAUAGUGAUAGUGGUCAAACGUUGAUUGAAAAGUAUCCUCAUCAUACAGCGCAAACAUGCUUGGAAAACAACUUUUGCAUGCACAAGGCUAGAGCCCAAUCACGCAACUGCUAAACCAAGCAUCCAAUCAAUAUAGUAUUGCAUCUGGGGCCUAAUCUGGCUGAAUUCAGCCAACCAAUAAUCACUUGUUGUGCAAACCAAGACGACACAUCUUAACUUAAAUUCUCAAAUGGAUACUGAUACGAACAACCUCCGGUCAAAUUAAAAUUGGACACUGCCGUGAAACUUACCUGCGCUGCAAAAUUUCAUGACACCAAGGCAAACCGAAAAACCUGAUGGCAAGCUCAUAAUGAAGAAAAACUGAAAUUUUCAAGCAACAAGUACUAGCUAGUAACCAGAUCACUACAAGAAAACAUUAUGACAAACAUUCUUAACAUAAUCCAUAUUGUUAAAACCAACACAAAUCCAUGACAAAAGCAAUAAAACGGUGAAAAUGGGAAUGACGAUAAUGUUCCGAUAAGGGGACUACCCCGCGCCGAUAAGAGAGUCUAAACAUUAUUAUUCUCAUGACAAGUCUCAAAUAUGGUAGAAGCAUUAUCCAGCAUUGCGCCCGACCCCUUGCAUCAAGCUGGGGUGACGAUGUUGGCCUUGACAGCAGCCUUGAUCUUCUUCAGUACAUGACACAGCAGAUUGCCAACGUCGUCGAAGGCCCUGUCAGCGGCAUGCUUGUCAGACGAGGAUAAGCCGGGCAACAGCGCCUGACACGCCAUAGUGAGGAUGGAUCCAGCAGUGUGAUUGUCACGGCCGAUGGGAGCGCUGGAGGAGCUUGGAGCAUCACGAACCCUGCCAUGGCCGUCCGGAAGGACUGCGAACCCAGACGGCAUGAGGAAGACAGAGGCGUGGUCGCCGCCGUUCAUGACCGCACGCAUGAAAUCCUCUUCGACGGGAGCGUAGACCACCAUGGAGCGUGACGCGUCGGUGCACGCCUGUUGCAACAUCAGCACCUUCUUGCUGUCGGUUCCAUCGGUCGUCACCUGAAACAGAAUUGAAACAGUGACUCUUUGCUUGAUAGCAUUGCUAGCUAGAACGUACUGCGAAUAAUAAACUCACAUUGGAGUAGAGCACGGAGACAGCAUUGCCAUGGAGAGGGCCCGUGGCCACAGAGCAGAGCUCAGCCACCGCCGUGCCAUUGGCGAAAACAUCCCACUCGCCGCGGCGCUGGCCAUCACAGAGGUACUGGAACACAAGCUGCGGCGGCGUGUUGGGCAGCCACACCGUGGUGCUGGCGCUCAGAACCAGGUCAGCCACGCUGCCGGGUUUCUUCCAGGUCACCAUGCGCACAGCUGCGUCGUCAGUCCUCCUGGCGUCUGUGCCGGCGCUUGCAGGCCACUCAUAGAGGUUGCUGGUGGAUGUCUGAGUGACGGGACCAGAGACAGCAGAGUAGAAAACCGCCAUCAUUCUCUUUGCCAGCUCCAGGAUCCCCCUCUUGCCCAUUGAGGAAAUGGCAGCUACUGUGGAAGUUUUCAAGAACAAAGCCGAUAUAUUUAUCACUCAACUGUUACUGUUCCAGCUAAUUAAUCCAAGAGCUAGCAUAUGAAAAAUGAAAUCAAAGGUUAUAUAUCGACAGUUUCCUUGUUGUCCAUGACAUGACUCACCUGUGUUGUCUUUGUCACCUCUUGGGACCUGGCUGGAGUGCAGAAUAGUAAGGUACUCGUACUGGCUCUGCAGCGACGCGAGCCAGCGGUGCGCGCCGAAAGCCUUCCCGGAGCGGAGCAGUGGCCUAAACAAUGUUGGCACCAUGGUCUCGUCAUACUCCGCGUGGACAACCCAUGUGAUCUGCAAUGCAAGAGAGAAUUUCAAGUUUGAAGGUCUGACUUCUAAAAUAUAAUUACUAUUUAUAUGGAGGGAUUGUAGUAGUAAUACUCUUAAGCUGGAGUUGGACUGUAUGUAUACCUUGCAGUAAUCAUUGCCCUUGCCCAUGUCCUCAAUGAGGCAGCCGGACGGCAGUAGCCUGCAGCCUGUUGUGUUGUUUGCAACGGCGGUGGCAUCAGUGGUGCGCCUACCUGCUGACGGUCCAAGGAUGCCGUCGACAGACACGUCCAUGACAGCCCACUGCCCCUCCGCCACCCUCUUAUUAUACCUCAGAAAGUUGAUUCUGCGGUUGUGCAGACGUGGCGACUGCACCCACAGCUCUGCGUUCAUCUGCAAGUGCUCGAUCGAUCGGUGCUCCGAUUCACAAUGUUAGUUGAAUGACCAAAAAGAACAUAGAUGCAUCUACGAAAUGGAAUAUGCAUGGAUGCGAACCGAACACACACCAGCUGGAUACAUGAACCGAAGUCACCAGCGGUGAUGGCACCAUUGGUGGUCACACUCGCCACGACGUCGGGGAACAUCUCACACCAGCGCUUCUGAUCGAUUGACAAACAAACACAAAACACCAACACCAGAUUAAUGAAAGGCACUUUAAUUAGAUGCAUAUUUAGCAAUGCGAUUGUAUAUGCUGCAGGAUUAAUUGCAUGGAUCGGAUAUAUAGUGAAGAUGUGUGUGCAACAUGUGUGCACGCACGCACGUACCGCGUCUGUAAGCUUGACGAUGAGGUCGGCGACGAAGGCUCUGACAAUGCCAGUCUCCCUGGUAGCCUCCAUGAUGAGUCCGCCGUGGUGCAUCGGGAGUGUGGCUUUCUUUUGGUACCCCAGGUAGCUGAGCGCCUCCCCAUCAGGGGUGGGCAGCCACAGCGGCUCCCCACUGGUCGCGAGCAUGACGAACUGGUCCAUGGCAGCCUCAGCGUGCCUGCGGAGACGAGUGUCGCGGUCUGCCUGCUUGCUGGCCCCUUCGUCGACGGGCAGCACCACGGCGCCGGGGCGGCGGAAGACGACUGCUGGUGGGCGCUGCACGGCGGGGCCGGGCGCCGCCGAGUGCUGUAAGACGAUCUGGUUGAGCAACUCGGUGGCGCGCAUGUAGUCGCCCCGGAGCCUCGCGUUUUCCAUCAGCAGGCGGUGGUUCUCCGCCAGCAGCUCGGCGGGCACCGUCGCGCCGCCGCAGGUGAAGCAGGACCUUUUUAACAUGGCCUGACGGAGCGACGCAUUUUCGGCCAAAAGUGCAGCGUUCUGUCGUUGAGCUGCCUUGCUGUUAUGCUCCAUAGCCUUCGCCUGUUGGAAUUUUGAAAGAUAUAUAGUAACCGUGAUUAUUCUUUCUACCACUAGUUGUAUAUUUGAUGAUGCAUGGAGUAGAACAAAAAUACUGAUAUGUGUAUGAGUGUGACCUGCAUCUGUGAGCGCUGGUUUUGGAACCAGUAUUGGACCUGCUUUGCCUCUAAACCGAUCUUUUCCCCGAGCGCGCGUCGUGUCGGCUCGUCGGGAUGGUGAUUCUGUUGAUAUGCACUGCACAACACAAGACAGAUAUAAAGGACCGGACACCCUAGCAAUUUUUAUUUAACCCCAAAGUAAACCAAGUAAACAUUGAUUAAUUUUUCUUGUUUGAUUUUUUUUUUUUUGAAAUCGUGACGAGCAUCUUUCAAUAAGCAGAUGAGAAAACAAAGUACAUAACAAAGGCGUGAUUGGGAAGCCUAAGCUUGCCAAACCCCAACACAACACAAAAGAGAAAACAACUGAAACAGAAAGGAAACUACACGAAAGGCAAGGUUCUGCUGUAUUACCUUAUGAGUUCUCGGAUCUGCUCUGGGGUGUGGCGUUUUUGGCGUUUGGACGCCGCCGUCUCAGUCUCUUGAGUGUAGUCCUCGUUGUUGUAGCCUUCACCAUCAGUGUAAUCAGUGUCCUUGUCAGUAUAAGCAUUGACCUGCUGCUGCCCUUCCUUCUCCAUGGCUUACCUUGUACUAGCAGAUGAAAAGGUAAUAAGUGUCCUCAUCACUAUAUUAACUUUUAAAGGGUAAUGUUACUAUACUUCCGGUUAUCAACUAGGAGAUGAUACUUCAAUAAAUUUGAACCAUUGAUUUUUUCAAAAAUUUAUGAAUUAUUUAGUUAAAUAAAUAAAUAUAGUUAUUCGAAUUCGAUCUAAAAUAUGGUAAAUAGCGCUAUCCGAAUUUCUUUUCCCAUCUAUAACAAUGAUAUGUUAUGUAUGAUACAGCUAUCAAUCCUAUAUCAUGGUGCAUAUGAACCCAUCAUGUUAUUACAAGGUUAAAGUUGUACACCGGCCAUGAUAGGGUACCAUAAAAGUUCUUUUUAGCAGGUUCAUAAUUAAUGUACAGACCGUUGCGCUAACAUACAAAUUUCUAUCUUAAAAUUGGUAAAAAAAAAAAGAAGGUAUACAAAAGUCAUGUCGAUGAAUACGUCACGCUAACUAAGAAAAAUCAUUAAACAAGCCAUGUAAUAAACAUGUCAGGUUAACUAUGGCUUUGAGUUAUUCAUGUUCCAUGACAAUUCACAAACAUUGCCAACCGUGGCCGGUGGAUUUAUAUAUAUGUACAUGACAUAUUACCAAAUUAUAUGGCUUGUUAUAAUAUUAACUAGAACAAAUAUAUAUGGACAUAACAUGUUACAUGCGAGAUUAGAAAAAACAAGUUAUAGUAUGAAAAAAAUGGCAACUAAUAGAUCCGGAAAAAACAAGCACAUGAAUAAAAAAAUCACCGUCUAAGCUUAACAUGCCACCUAACACAGGAGGUACAUGCGACACUGCUAACAUAAAUACGUUACAUGCAUAAAACAUGGAGGCGUUCCACGCAUAAAAAGCUAACAUGACGUGGUCUUCCCUUCCUUAACUCAUUUCCCCCUUGCUAUAGUAGAUCUGGGCGAACCGAGGGUGAGCACUUUCCGGCGCAAAUCUCGGCGGCUCCCCCCUUGCCUCCGGUGGCCUCUUUGGCGCAACAGGGCGGCGGCUCCCCCCUUGCCUCCGGUGGCCUCUUCGGCGCAAGAGGGUGGGGGACCUCGAUUUAGGUGGUGAGCGCAUAUAUCAUAUACUACUAGUAGGUUAGGUUCAAUUUAUCACAUAUUAACUAAAGGUAAUAGAUGAUUGUAACCAUGCCAUCUAACUAAAUAAAUAUCUCAUAACUACUUUAGACUACCAUAGCAAAAUCCAACAUAAAAAUACAAAUUAAAAUGGAAAAAUGAUGAAUAGAUACCUUUGGGACAAGCCUCUGUUCCCUUCGCCGGCACUGAGCAGAGAAAACUAUUGGAAUACGGUUCUUGAAAAUUGGAAUAGUAGCGGUGCGGUGAGCUAGUACUCCGGAGAUGCAAAAUACUACCGGCGGCCGCGGGUAUUUAUCGAUGUGUGUGGCCCUAAAAAUUACUAAAUUGCCCAUAAAAAGUUGAAGCACUAAAUACAAUUAUAUAUCUAUAUUAAUAUAAUAUAGUAUCUGGAAGCAGACAGUUAUUAAGUGAUAUAGUACAUUUAUUCAUACUACUAAACUAUGAUGUAUAUAAAGAUAUAUACAUUAAUUUUAUUGAAUAAUAUAGAUAUCAUCAUCUUUGGCAUUUAUUUCUUUAGAUGGUUCAUUAUGUCAUGCUUCAUUAUUGGUUGUCAUAACUAGCACCAUUUCAUAACUUCUUAUUUGCUUCACUGUGAGUUAUAAUUUCUUUUGGCAAUGCUUAGAUGUGUCCAAACUAAUGCUACCAAUUUAUCGUAUGCACCACCAAGAAAAGCUAUACAACAUUAAUAUAUUUGGUUUAUUAAAAGCACCCUUCAUUUGAUAGAAUUCUGAGCAUGGGUGGCUCUUGAGCGUGUGAUGCGUGUCAUUGCCUAUUUUGUAAAAAGUCCUCUUACAUUUUGGAAAUUCAAACGUCCGCCUUAUUGUACUCUCUAAACAAUAACCGUGUUUGGGUAUUUUAUUACUAGAGCCUUGAUGUAAAUUUUAUUUCAAUGUGAAGAAGGCAACAUUCGGUAAUCUCGUCAUUAUGCAGCAACCUCCUUGAAGUUUUGUGGAGAGCCCCUUGCAGCUGCAUAGCCCAGCCCUAGCGCAACGCAUAGUCUCAUCUUCCCUCCUCUUUCUUAGGACUAGCAGCAUGGGUUGCAACAUCCUAGAUUGACAGCAAAUGGGAAGGUGGCUUGACCAUGAGCAUCGUAAUUAGUCUUAGAGGGCAUUCAACAAACAAUCUACACCACGCCACAUCCAAAAUGUGGCUCUCGAGCAACCAUUCCUCAAUGUGGCUCUUGAAUCAUUGAAUAGUUUGAUAGGGCAUAGAUGUAAUGUUGUCACAACUACACCACGUCACCCUUCACACCGAAAUCGCACGAUAAGUCAGUCGUCACCAAGUAAUCAGCUUAUCACCCGUAUUUGUGACAAGGGGUCUGUACGGGUGGUCAAUCAGACUUGCUAUCCCAUGAACAGUCCUUAACUACUCCACGAGCUAUGUCACUUGAGAUCCUACACUCAUAAUGAUGUAGACAAAGCCCGAUCUUCCGAAAGGUAUGAUAGCGUCAAUUGGUGGAGACUCAAUAUUCACGAUCUAGGCUUCAAACCAAGACUGAUUCAGAUCCCCACAACCAUUACACCACUGCUCCUUUGGUUAUCAACCACACGAACACGAUUAACCUCGCCGAGAAGGCUUUCCUGCAAGCGAAUCGAGAACACAAGCAAGAAUGAGUGAACACAAUCUAAAAUUGCAAAUAAGUAUGAGACUCUGAAUAUUAGAAGAAGUUUAAGUCUUUAUUCAAAAGGAGUAAUCGCCAUAGGCGAAUAAUAUAAAGAACAGGGGCCCUGGUGUAACAGUAAACAAUCUUCAUGAUAUAGUUACAGCAAACGAUGUUUGUUUCACAUGAAAAACAAGAACACAACAAAGCCCAAACCCCUGGAUGCACCCCCUAAUCGAUCCAAACAUGAUACACGGUCCAACGGACCAAAAGACGGUGUGGCAGCACUCUAGUAGAUUCUGGAUGUUGAUUUGUUUUGACAAAUCUCGUUAGUUUCGAAAGCCUUUUGAUGUGAUACUAGUGGCAUUGGAUUCCUGAUCAAAUUAACUUUCCAUCCAUAUAUAGAUCAUCGAAAAUGGAGUCUGGAUGCACCUAUGUGACCAGUUUUAUGACAGACUUGUCAUAGAACACGAGAAGGACUCCGAUUUUAGUUGGACUAGGUCUCCGCUAUAAGAAAGAUGAAUUGGACGCCCGUGCUGGACCUCCUCCACUCCUUGUACAUGAUGGAGUGAUGUCCUCAUCUCAUAAUGACCUUACUCCUUGCUUGAGUAGAAAUUUUCAAAGUUGGUCAUUGUUGACACUUCUUAACAACACUAGCAGAGGACAGAGGUUAACUAGUGGUACUAGAAGCGUCGGGUCAGUAGUUCUUAGCUACACCUAAGGUGAGGCUAGAGUUGGCUAGUCUACUAAUGCCUAGUGGGGUUGUCAAUCCUGACACUAAUAGGGCCAACAUGAGUGAUUGCAAUCUACCUAAGAUGAAUGGGAUCUGCAAGCGCACAGAACUAUCAUGUGUAGCAAUUCGUCUGGUGAGUAACCAGGUGUCAAUUUAGAAUUUCCCAUAGGAAGACUAGGGAGAUGUGGUCGAGUUGGGUAAGAAUGGAUGAUCGGAGUUAGGAAUGGUAAGGGAUGGGUUGGCUAGCAAGAACGGAUGAAUGGGUAAUUAAUAUGCAGAAAAGAAGAUAAAAUAAAAGAUAACCAAACUAACCUGCCAACUAACCUGAGGGGGUUAAGAGAUAAAUAAGAGUGGUAGUAGUUUUAGGGAACUCAGUAAAAGGAUAGCACUAGUUAUUCAAGUCAAGCAAAGAGGCGUACCCAUCCUGAACUCACCGUAUGGUUGAUCAGGCACGAAGCACAACGAGCCUAACAUUUUAAGAACUAAAAACGAACGUGGGGGAAUACGUAGGCAAUCAGGGUUGUCACCACCUGGUGCUACCCCAGCUAUCCAAGGGUCUAGCCGUAUCUAAAGGUAAGCCUAUAGCCUAAGCACUGUGCUUAAUCUAUAUUUCUACUAUCUUUACCCCGAGCUCUAGAGUGAAGACGCCCUAACCAGACGACAGAGCAAUUCCUUAGCUUGAACAACUAACACUAAACUAACCAAGCUAUCUAUCCCGACACAAUCAAACACCUAAGCUCACUAAUGAUAUGAUCACUAUAAACUAAGUACUUGAAAAGUAAACAAUCAAUAUAGUACUCAAAUACUAAAGUAAAUGAUAAAUAAUAAAUGAGUACUAAGAUAGCAAAGGUAUAAUACCAGAGUGGAGAGGAGGAAGACUCUUCCCGUCUCCAAGCUAAGUUACGCCUGGCUACUCUUCCCGCUUACAACUCCAAGCUACUAGAUCUGGGCUAAGCUGGGGGCAGAGAGGCUAUGGAGCUGAGCUGGCUACCUAAGCGAGGGAGCUACUACACUAACACUUGCUCUAAGCUUGAGCUCUUCUUAUGUUCUCUUCUUUUCUCCCUUCCCUAAAACAGAUGCCGAGGGGGUUCUUUUAUAGGCUAGGGAAUCUUCUGAAGGAAGGAGCUCACAGGGGAGAGAAGUAGAGUGGCGGGCGCUAGAAUGGGGUGGCGGGUGUUGACACUUCUUAACGCAAUUACUAAAAAUAGACUCUUAAACCUAUCCCUAGCAACUGUGUCAAAAUUACUUAACAUCACUUAAGCUAGGUUGUCAUCUCUAACAUGAUGUAGAAGUGCUGGUAUUAAUCUAUAUGUUUUUCUAAGGAUAAAUAAAUAAAUAAAGGAUCCGUAAGCGCACAAAUAAUACGGAUAUAACAUUUUAACCAGGAGUAUUCCAGAUAUCAUUAUUUAUAUUUUUACCACUGGGAAGGGACUUGCAAUGGAUAAUGAGCAAUGAGCACUGCAUGUAAUCAUGGAGACCUUAACCUUGUCUUUAUCUAUCCCUCAUGUAGGGUAAGUGUCACAUAAGAUAAAUAUAUGAAUAUGAAUAAUAAGUGACAAAUAAAUAAGAAUAAAUCAUCUCAAUAAGAAUAAUCAUCUCAAUUAGAUUACUCUAAGUCUAUAGCACUAGCAUAGUAUUAGGAUAAUCUAUAAGAAUAAAUCCUAAGUAUUCUAACUAUACUAUCAAAGCAUACAAUGAUUAGUGCAAGUACACCUAGCAUCAUCACUAGAAAAGGUUAUAUCUAUGCAUAGUGAUAUUAGCAAGAAAGAUCAUGAACAUAGCAAUCACUUCCUUGUAAUAAUGGUACUCUACAAUUCUUAUAAUCGAGAGAAGGAAUACAAAGGACUCAACAAGACUGUCACUCCUGCGAUCUACCUCAAGCUCCAGACUAUAAGUGGUAAUCGCACAUAAAUACGGUCUAGGCACCUCGCCUACACAAUAUCUAUCAUUUACCCAUCAGCCUAAUGAGUAAGCGCUAUACAAACCUAUGCAUAAACAUAAUUAUAAUCUAACUACACUAAGCAUAUAAUCAAAGUAAACUAUAACAAUAUAAUUAGAACAUAAGCGAAUAGAAUAAAGUCAAUUCUGAUAUAAUCAAAUAGAUCAAAGUCACAUUCAUAGUAGCAAGAACUAAUAUAAAUAUAACAAAUAGAAUAAGAGUUUACCAAGAACUGAAGAUGGAUCUAGACCUCAAGAUUGACUUGACUCCUUCUAGAUCUAUUCCUAUGUAGCUAUGCUAAAGAACUAUAAAGAUCUAAUUGAGAUGGUGGCUAAGAACCCUAUAGAGAUAGAUCCAUUCGAGGGACCCCUCUCUGUCUAAUUCUUCUCUUGAUCUUCUUAGAGAAUUCUUGACUCCUCUCCAGGAGGGUCAAGGUCUUAUUUAUAGCCCCCUAGGAAGCACCACAGCCCUUUGAUCAAACCGACUUAAAUGUACGCUUAAGAUUACUCCUCAAAGGCAGUGGAGGCAGGAUCCGUGAGGUUCACCCUGAUUGGUUGAACCCCUCGGGCGGCCGCCCCUGACAAGGUGUGGUGCCCGCCCCUACCCUAUGGUAGGUGGGCCCCACCUUUUAGGUGGUGUCUUCCUGAGUCUUCUAGAGUAUUCCUAAAUUGACGUUUCACGUAUUCUCUCUAUGUAAAUCUGACAUGCGGAUCUUCUUUUGUUCUUAUUCCGAUAACCUCCUACAGAAAUAGACAAUCACCAAAACUUGUGGAAUUCUGUUAGUGAUAACCCCUAUAGCUAGAUAGUAUUUUGAUUUAAGUCCUUUCUUAUGCUAUGUUGACGGUUGUUAAUCCCAAAUUUUGGCAAGUCAGGAAACUGCCAGUGGGCCUACAUCGUAAAAGGAGGGGCGGCCACACGAGUGGAUCGACUAAACCAGAGGCGUAACGAAAUUAGUCGAUUAGAAGGGUGUCGGAACAAGGCAAGACGAAAGAAGACAUGUCGGGUUCAAUUAGAAAGGAAAUGUUAGAGUCUAGGUUACCCUUUUGAGGAAAGAGCCAUAUUAGGACAUGAGACUAGAACUCCAGACUAUAAAUAUUAGGAACUCGAUCCCUGUAAAAAUACACACAAUCAUAAUACAAACCCUUUUGGCUCUGGCCAUCAACCUUAGGAGUAGGAGUAGAAGUAGAUCUCGACAAGACCUUCAACAAAUUGAGCUGCAUUGGUUGAAUUUGACCUUCGGUUUGCUUGUAAGUAUUGUCAUGGUCCAUGUUUAGUUUGUCAUGGCUGCAUCAUUCGACCUCAUGUCAAGCUUAAUUAUGAACUAGUUAUCAACUUGAAUUGUGUUUGUAAGGCUGCAUUGUUUCAAUCUCUUAUGAAUCUCGGUUCAAGUUAGUUAUCGGCUCUAUUAAAUUGGCAAUUUAAUAGAUUCAUCAAGUUAUCAAUAUUGUUCAAAGCUUAAUGUUUUAUUUAUUGUAACAAUAUUCUUCCCGAUCAAGAUUUAACGAGUUGGCUCGAGCUUCAAAUCUAGACGCUUAUCAAAGAUCUCAAGUAAAUAACAAUUAUUAAGUGAAUAUAAGAUAGGUAACUUGUUGAUCUUGAUCGUUUCAUGUUGUGCGUUCGAGAUAUUUAUUUUGUUAUGAUUAAUUUGGUAUUAAUAACUAAAUCCGAUUGUAACAACAUAGAUAGAUCUUGUUCGUGCCUCAUGGACCCUGUAUCGGCUAAAAUAGUCGAUCGAGUUAAGCUUAAACGAAUAGUGCGAGUGCAUGGAUCUAUUUAUGCAUUAAAUGAACUAGUAAUAUAUGUUGAAUUUAUUGAAGCCCGCUGUUGAUGGUCUUUAAGUACCAAAUUUAAUCAUCAAAUAAAUAAAGAAAAGGAUCCAAAUGCAACCAAUACCCAGACUUAGGGUUUUAUCUGAUAGAAUUCCACGAGUUUUGGUGUUUGUCUAUUUCUGCAGGGGGUUAUCAGGAAAUAUGGAGGAAAGGCCCACACGUCGGGUUUCCUCUUACAUGGAUAUGAUAAAUAGUUGCUCUGCCAUGUACCUAGUUUUCAAGUUUGAGCUCUCUCUCAAGUUUAGGCAUAACUGUUAUAAUUUAAACCUGCUCUAAACCUGAACUUGUGGAAAGAGUACUUGAUCUAAAGUCUAAGUCGUUAACGGAAAUGAUAUGGAAAGGUUGAGCUGCUAUUUAUCUGUUCCUAGAGUUGCUAGAAUUCUAGAGAAUUUUAUCUUUGAAAAUCUUUAAAAUGUUGCAUGAUGAGUUCCUGUAUGAUGAGAGUAUAAAAUCCUACCACAGCCAUAUAUACAUGCUUAUUAGACUAUGAACCAUAUAUUUACUUUUUACUGCUUAUGAGCAUUGAGUGUGGUCAAGCUGUGUAGACCCUUAGGAGUUUGUCAUGCGGUUAAAAUCAAGAUCCACUUGCACGUUCACUCACACAUGCUACUUUUACUCCGGAAGUACGCAUCCACAUACAUCCACUCACUUCCAUCUCCAAAUUGACCUAAAAUUAUUCUACUCCUAUCCAGAAGAGAAUAGCCAAAAAUAUUUUCCUAUCCCUGUGAAAUAAAUGCUCCAAUUAUUUUGGUUACUACCACUUGCUACAUUAUUCAAGGAGGGUGAGUGCUCUAAAAAAAUGAUGAAUACGAGGAAAUAAAAAGGGGCAAGUGCCCGGAACCUCGAAGAAAAGAAAAAGUGAGACGAGAGGUAAAAAUGGACAAGUGUCCGACAGUAGAAUUAGGGGUACAAGAUACCCACCUGAGAGAAAAGGAAAAAAAUAUAGAGCAUCUCAUUCUCCUCAAAAAAGCUUCAAAGUGCAAGAAAGGUAUGUAUCCCCUAAAAAGAGCAAAAGUAGAAUUAGACUUUCACCAUUGUUAUCACCAUGAUCACCAUACACCAUUCACUCACCACACAUGCACAUCUUGAUUUGACUUAUUGACUUGUUCUUCUGGAUCCAUGGUUUGACUAUGCAAUAAAUGUCUUGUAAGUAUGUAUUAUCUGUCUCCCACCUAUGAGCUCCAGAUAUCAAAACCUUAUUAGAGUAGGGUGAGAGAGAAGGCAAUAUCACUAUGCCUCAUACCAAAAAUACCACAUACUUUGAGAGAAGGCAUAUACCAUUACUACCUUGGUAAGGAUCCAGAAAUACCACAAAAGAGAGAUUUGAGAGAGUCAUACAAGGAAUAUCUGAGUUUUAUUUGAAAAUCUACAAAAACUCCAGAGCUAUAGUUAAUCAAAGAACAAGAGACAUGGCACUUGACUAGAUUGUUCUAUCUUUUAACUGCUCAAGACACAAGUGACGGUUGCAAGCCCCAUGGUGAAAGGUAAAAUGAGUAAGUUUUAAGUCUUAAUAGUUUACUCUAACUCAGAGAUGAGAUCUUGCUUGAACGCAUGUGUACUUUUAAGGCAUGAAACCAUUGCAGAAACUCUUGAGUCCAUCCUUGCUCAGGGAUGAGCAAGAGGUAAGCUUGGGGGAGUUGUUGACGGUCUUUAAGUACCAAAUUGAAUCAUCAAAUAAAUAAAGAAAAGGAUCCAAAUGCAACCAACACCCAGACGUAGGGUUUUAUCUGAUAGAAUUCCACGAGUUUUGGUGUUUGUCUAUUUCUGCAGGAAAGGCCCACACAUCGGGUUUACAUAGAGAUAUUAAUGUGUGCACCAAUUUUCUAUCAUCUAGAAGAGUCCAGAAGCCACAGGAACAAACGGAAGGCUGAGCAGGCUCGGGGGCAGGGUGCCCGCCCUCCCCCCUAGGGCGCCCGCCCUGCUAGAGGGACCAAUCAGGUCCCGCCUCAUGGAUUAUGCUCCACCGACCUAAAGGAUUAAGGAAAACCGUGCGAUUUAGGUCGGUUUGAUCCGACGGCCCAUGUUCAUUUGGAGGGGCUAUAUAAGCAGGCCCCCUGGCCCCUGGAGGAGGGCAAUCCCAUUAUUCAUUAGCAUAUUUUCCAGAGAGGAUUCAGAGAGAGAGGUCCCUCUAGGGUUCCAACCUCAUAGGGCUUAGCAUCCAAUGUGAGAUUAGAAUUAGUUCUUCUAGAUUGAGAGAGAUAGAGUGGAGGUGUAGAUCGAAGUAAGCCCGGCCUAUCGGUGUCUACUCCGAGGUUGUACCUGCGGGAUCAAGUCUCCUAACUUGAGGCUUGCUCUUAGGAUUCUUUAGUAUUUCGACUUCUAAAUUCUAGUAAGUUCUUUGUUCUUAUUGUUCUUUGGUUUAUGAGUUUACUUUAAUCUCUUCUGGUAGAGUUUAGAGUAAUCAUUGCUAGCGUAAAUGUGGUGUUUGGGCUAGGGUACUCAUAGAUAUCCCCUAUCUAACCGGACCGUGGUAGUAGCAAGGAACGUGACAUUUCAAUAGCUACCUUUGUAGUCCACAAUCCCGUUAGCAGGAUCGGUAGGGUUUAUCUAGAUUCCGUAAGCCUCCCUAAUAGAACAGUAGAUCAUCCUUACCAAGGUUAGAACGAGAGUGCGGUUGUAGUCUUCUCUAUACAUCGCUCACAUCAAAUCACAUUGUUUGUAUCCUAAAGGGUAGUAGCAAUAGAUUUGGUUAGUCAGAUGCACGCUUUCUCCGAGUGGUAAAAAUAUAAAUACAAUACUCUGGAUAACCUCCCGGGUGAAGUGCUCACCGAUAUCCAUGCGCUUUUGGAUCAUUUCCUGAUGGCGUUAACAAAUAUCAACACCCGCUGGCCAUUAGACCAAGUGAAUAUAGAUUUAAUACAAAUUAUAAAAGUAAUCUACUGAAACCGCAGGCUGUUAGACCAGUUUUAGUAAGUUAUUGUUUAUUUGGUGGAUGAAAGGAUAAUGCACGUGAGCUAUCUUUUAUCAUUAUACAUAGCGUAUCGGCUAAAUAGCAGAUCCGGUAAUUUACACUCAUAAGAUACAAUUGUUCAAUACAAUCGAGAAUGCUUAUCUUUUUGCAUCAUUUUAAGGAGUUGACUUUCUAGUUAAUUUCCUUCAUUCAACGGCUUCUUAAGGCCAUACAUCUCAGAACUGUCUGGCAAUAACCGACAGGUUCCAUAAUUUGACAUUUGUACUUUCACCUUAUCAAUUUUUAGGUCAAAUUGACUGGCACACCUCGGAAUCAAUUCACCAAGCUUGUGUGUCUGUGACUCAGGAGGUCUAGGACUUCAGCUCUUGAACUCCCUCUGAGAGCCCCCGAGAUUGUUGGUGUGAGAAACUAAUUUUUGCACCAACAACGGUUAAAAAGAGUACUUAUCUACCAUCAACAAACUCCCCCAAGCUUACCUUUUGCUCGUCCCUAAGCAAAGAUAGACUCAGAGAUGGAUCAGGAGUUGCUACAAUACUUUCACGCCUCACAAGUACACAUGUACUCAAACAAGGACUCUCCUCCAGAUUAGAGUGAACUAUUCUAACUCAAGAAUUACCCAUAUUACCUUUUACCAUAGAGCUUAUAGCUAUCACUUGGGUCUUGGGCACUUGAAAGAUAGAACAAUUAAGUUGAGCACUAUGCUACUCGCUCUUUGAUCAACUAUUACUUCAGAGUUUUUGCAAGAUUUUCAAAUAAUACUCAUAGUUUCCUUGUAUGACACUUUCCAAUCUCUCAUUUGUGGUAUUUUUGGAUCCUCUCCAAGGCAAGUGAGUAUGCCUUCUCUCAGCUCUCAGAAUAUGUGGUAUUUGUAGGACUAAGGCAUAGUUGCCUUCUCUCUCUCACCCUACUUCUAAUUGGCUUAUGUGGAGCUCAUAGGUGGGAAAGACUAUUCAAACCUACCUGCAUGUAUUGCAUAGUAAACCAUGGAUCUAGAGACUAAUUAUACAAUCAAGUCAUAUGUGCAUGUGAGUGCAGUGAAGUGAUAAGAAUGAAAGUAGUUAUGAGGGGUGAUAACUAAUGGUGAAUAUCUAAUUCUACAAUUGCUCCUUGGGGAUAACAUACCUCCCUAAUCUAAGAAUAAGGACUUGGUUGUCUUUCUUUUCUUUUGCAUUGGGACUUUUGUCCUAUUUUUUUAGAUCAGCCAUCCCUUUUAAUGCUAUGAUAACAGUAGGGAGUAGGGAUGUAAACGGAUCAGAUACGGACGGAUAUCAUCGAUAUCAUAUUUGUUUUCAUAUUUCUGGUCGGAUUCAGAUUCGAAUACAGAUAAUGUCAAUCAUGUCGGAUAAGAUAUGAUUGGAUGUCGACAUCAUAAAUAUAUGAUUUAAGUAUUCGGAUACGGAUACGGUAUCGGAUGUUAUACAUUUGGACUCGGAUAUGGACAGAUCUAAACCUCUCUAAACGAAUUCGGUCUCGAAUACGGUCGGAAAAUAUCCGUACCGUUUUCAUCCCUAGUAGGGAGUAUCAAUUGGGAUAACUAGAGCUUUAUUGGAUAAGUAGAAAAAGACAUCAUGAAUAUUUUUGGGUGUGUUCUCCUAGUGUAGGAGUAGACCAUUUUCUAAGUGGAUGUGGAAUGUGAAUGGGUGAAUGAAUGAAUGCGUACUUCCAGGGUAGGAGCAGCAUAGGUGCGUGUCUCUAGGAUAGAAACAACAUAGAGUGUAGUGCGUAUAGUGGGUGGUACUUCCAGGAAUAGAAGUAGCACAUAGUGAAUGUGGUGGAUGUAAGUGGUUGCAUACUUCUGAGGACAGAAGUAGCUAAGAUCAAUGGAUGGAGACCACUUAAUAUUGACUUUAACUACAUGACUAGUUCCUCAGGGUCUACACAGCUUAACUACCCUCAAUGCUUAUAGGUUGAAAAUAAGUAGAGGUUUUCCUAAUCUAGUAAGCAUGAGUAUUUGGCUGUGGUAGGAAUUCAAAACUCUCGUCAUAAAGGAACUCAUCAUGUAGCAAUUUUAAGAUUUUCAAAGUAAAAUUCUCCAAAACUCUAGCAUCUCUAGGAGCAAGAUUGAUAGCAGCUUAAAACCUUCCCAAUUAUCAUAUCCGUCAACUAACUAGACUUAGAUCAAGCAUUUGCUACCCACAGGUUUUAGGCUCUGAGAAAAUCUUAAGUCCAAAUAGUUGCAAGGAAUUACAUCAUAGCAACUAUUCAUCAUAUCCAUAUAAGAGUUUAUUCUAGAGAUUUAUUUUAACAGAUUCAUUAAGAUCUCUCCUUAGCUAACAUAGCUUAAUUAUGAAAGAUAACAUAUUUAUUGGGUUUCUAAGAUUAUUCAUCUUUUUUAUCUUGUCAUAACGCACUAAGAAUAAAUAGAUGAGUAAGUAAGAGAUACUUAGCUUGGUAUACGGGGGUUGCUCUCCCCCAAGCUGGAUGUUGACAUAGUCUGUUGUGGUUGCUGACAGGCAGUGAAGGCGUACUGAUUCUCCUGGAGUGUCAUGGGUACUUGCUGUCAGAUACAACACUUGCCUGAUGUGGACAGUACUCCUUCUACCUAUUAAUUUUUCUUGAUCCUUUGAAGCCUAUGAAGCUCAAAUAGACAACAAAGCUUGUGGAACUGAUUAAGAGUUAGUAAUAAACCUUUAAGCUUUGGGAGUCUAGAACUUUCUUAUGCCUAUUUAUCUUUUAGCAGGAUCAAUAUAUUUUUUGUGCUUUUCAUAUUUAUGGUAUGCAGACAGGGAAACAAAUAUUCCUACUAUGUUCACCUGAGCUCUGGAGUAAAGACACCCUAACCAGACGACACAACAAUUCCUUAGCUUGAACAACUAACACUAAACUAACCAAACUAUCUAUCCUGACAUAAUCAAGCACCUAAGCUCACUAAUGAUUAAUCAAUAUAGUACUCAGAUACUAAAGUAAAUGACUAUUGGCAAUCAUUAUAGACCAAUCAUAAACUGCCAACUUGAUCCAAAAGGAGAAGAAGCAAUCAUAUUAUAUACACACAUGCAUUUUAUUACUAACAAGUUCCACUUGUACCAUAGUGAUUAUAUUUUGCAGGAAUAAUAGUGCAACAAGUGGAAAUGUGCCAUACCAUGAAGAAAGCGCAAAGUACCAAAAGACGUAUUCAGAAAUGUGCAAACCAAGAAAAUAGAGAAAGGCUUGAAAAACGCAGAACUGGGCCUGAUCGUAACCACGGGAGAGAUCUUGGCCCGGAGCCAAACCGACCACACAAAGGCGGUGGCCAGGGGGACCCACCUAGGGUGCGGUCGCACCCUGGUGCGGGCGCACCCCUGGAGCGGCAAACCGGGCCCAUCUUUCUCAGGCGGUUGCAUGCCGCCAUGCAUAGGACGGUUUCACCUACUACAAAAUUUAGAUGCGACGAACCGUCCUAGUUUCACUAUAAAAAUAUAGGCACUCCCCCCUUUUGAACACACACAUCAUUUUGGAGUCAAUUUACCUCACACCUCUCACUUGUAUCUUUAGUCUAGAUUAGUAGUAGAGCAAGGCAAGAGCUAGCAAGGAGAGCUUGUCUCCUUGGAAGAAAGGAUCUUCUUGGUAUGAAUAAUAUUCAAUCUUCUUCCAUGAGCAAGUUCUAUUUAUCUUUAUAUGAUUAUGCAUAUGAACUAGAGUAUGGUUGUGUUCUUAUCAUGUUCAUAGUACAAGAACUAGUUCUUAGUUCUUGUGCUAUGUUCUUGAUAUGUAUGAUUAGGAAUAGAAUUAGGAAUGGGAUGAUGGUUCACUAUGCUGUGAUGGUUGCUCUUAGCCUAGCCUAUCACUCCGAAGGGGUGGGGCCCACAGGGGUUAGGAGUUGUUUCCAAUUACGUGAACAUGGUGUUCAGGUAUGCGGGAAUCAGUGGAUGUGCGGGUAUCUUUUGGGUAGAGGGGUAGGUGGCAGGGUAGUGACAGCUCUAUCAUCCUUUGCAUUCCCCCACGAUCAUGUAUUCUGAUAGGAGUUCUGUAAAGUCUCUAUCUGCUAGGUAUCCAGCUACGAGGAUCUCCCCUCAUCUCAGGUUUAGUUCUAACUCUAUUUAUUGCUAAUUAGAUGAUCCGCUAACAGUUCUAUGCAUAGUUAUAUGUGACCCAUGCCUACUCAAGAAGAUUUAUUUCUUUAUUCUUAUUUAUUAUUUCUCUUCUAUUUUAUCCUUGAGGUUGAUCCAAUGUGUGUCCACUAUCUUGAAUAUCAUGUUUAUUCCUGUUUACUCUAUGUCUACUAAGCAUUCAAUAAGUAAUCAUGUUUACACCAUGUUUGAUCCCUUUGCCUUCCUACGGGAAUUAUAAAUUCGACACCCUUGAAUACUCACAGGUUGAAAUGCUACAAUGAUAGUUCUGUCCGCUUGCAGUUAUAUUACUUCUUCAUUCAUGAACUAUCGAUUGGCGUACAUAAGUACCGUUACUUAAGAUUGUAAUCCUUGUGCACUUUCAAGCGUAGUGCCAUAGCUUUGCAUAUCGCAAGUAAGGAUGGUUAGGAAGGCUAAUCCGGCAUUCCUAAUUAUUGUUACCAGACUGCACUGCUAAGGCCGGCGCCCUCGAGUUGCCUUGGGUUAUCUCUCUAAUGUAGCGAUAGUUACAGUAUGCCAACACCCGACAUUUCUGGUGCCAUUGCUAAGGAUGGAUCUAUGGUCUAUUUUUAGUAGUGAGACUAAGAAUUGCCAACAAGCAUUUCUGGCGCCGUUGCCAGGGAAGGCAAAAAUCAUACUGGCAUAAACAUUGAUUGCAUAAUAAGCAUUGGUAGCCAUAGAUUAAGCAGGAUAACUUUACUAUUUUCUUCCUCUUUUUAUUGGAAUGAAAAUAGGAUAGUGUAUGGGUGGCUUCAACUUACCGACAAAGUUCCACAGUGAUCCAGAAACACUCCUAAGGAAGAGAAGGGUUCGUACCGUCUCUUCUUCUGCUACGCAACCGGCAAGCGAAUCAACUGUUCCACCACCAAUUGCACCAAUCGCUAUGGCCAAGACACUCCGUGACUACUCCACUCCCGCUGUUGCCAACAUGUCGACUGGGCCCGCUGUCAAUAUGGGGAAUGGAAGCUUCGAAAUCCACACUGGCCUCAUCUCUAUGGUGCAGGCAAGCCAAUUCUGUGGCCUGCCAAGUGAGGAUGCCAAUGCCCACCUUCACAACUUCCUUGAGCUGUGCGACACUGUCGUCAUCAAGGACGUCGCGCAGAAUAGCAUCAGGCUCCGUCUGUUUCCCUUUUCCCUCACCCGAAAGGCGAAACAAUGGUUUUAUCAGAACAAGGAAGCUGUUGACACAUGAGAAAAGUGCUCCGCGGCAUUCCUCGCCAAGUUCUUCCCCAUGAGCAGGACCAGCGCUCUAAGGGGGAAGAUCUCUAACUUCCAGCAGUCUUCACUUGAGUCCAUACCCGAAGCAUGGGAGAGGCUCUAGGAGUACAUCCGGGCCUGUCCUCAUCAUGGAAUGGAAGACUGGCUUGUGCUCCAGAACUUCGAUGCCGUAGCUGGAGGUGCAUUCCUUUCUCUCACCAUUAAUGAAGCUACUGCCCUCAUCGAGAAGAUGGUGGCAAAUCAAAGCUGGGGAGAAGGAAGGAAAACACAAAAAGGCUCACAAUCUGCGAAGGAGGCAGAUGUGCUUGCCGCAAAAAUAGACUUGAUGCUGCAAAGGAUGGACGCACAAGUUGCAAAUCCCAACAUGGGCACCGUCCAAGCAGUCAACUCACACACAUCGUGUGAAGUUUGUGGUGAUGAUGACCAUUCGGGGAAUAAUUGCCCCGAAACCCAAGAAGAAGCAGCAUAUGUCAACAAUGAGUUUCGGCCACCACAGCAAGGUAACAACGGGUGGAACAGUCAGCACCGCCCGUAGGGUAAUUUCUUCAAUCAGCCUUCCUUGAAAGAUCUGGUCAUAGAGCAAGCUAAAAUCAACCAGAAUCUGACCAAGAAGGUGUCCUACAAUGACAAGAUCAUUGAGAACAUCAAUGCCAAGCUUGAAACUCUUUGUUCAUCUGUCAAAAGUCAGACGAGUUUCAACAAGAUGAUAGAAACACAAAUAGCACAAAUAGCUGCAUCAAUUCCAGUCACUGACACAAAGAGGAUCCCAGGGCAACCAAAAACCUCUAGUGAGUUUGUUCAUGCAGCCACAGAAGAAUGAAGGAAGGAAAGUCUUGCCAACAGACUAUAAAUAUUGAGCCCUUGCCGAAGGCAUUCGGUAGUUAUCUAAAAAAACUAUAUAUAAUAAAAAUAAAUUUUGUGCUAUUUGUGUUCCAAUAAAGAUAUCUGAAGGGGGCCCACGACAUUAAGCAAGCUUGGGGGAGGUGUCCCCGCUCAGGAAUUAUGUCUUUUUAAAAUUCUUUAAAUUUUGUUUAAAUUCCCAUUUUAUAGAAAGUUUUUAUUUUAUUUCCCAAAAGUUUCCCUUUCUAUAGUUUUAUUUUAGUCAAAAAUAAAGUUUCUCUGAAAAUCUUAUAAAAAUUAUUUUCUGGUAGAAUAGAUUUUCCCCAUUUCCAAAUCUUAUUUUUAUAUAAUUUUUGAAAACCAAAAAUAUUUUGAAUAAAUAUGUGGAAAAUCAAAAUCUGGAGCAAGAUUUUGAACCAAGUCUGAUCGUAACCAGAGAGACGUUUGGGGUGACCAUUGGAGCCAGCAGCCAAAAGGCCGGGCAGAGACGGGCCCACCACUGGUGCGGGCGCACCAUGGUGCGGCCGCACCCUGCCCAAGGCCUGCUGGCCUCGGCCUUUGGGCAAUGGCUAGUAGCCGUUGAGGGGGGCGCUCCCCCACCUGCGAUCAACUCUAUAAAUAGAGAAGAUCCUGGGUGGAGCACCUCACCCCUCUCACACAUAUUUUUUUACUCUUCCCUUCUUCACUCUCUUGCUCCACUUUGCUUCAUAGCCUACUCCACAAGCUUAGUGCAAGAAAAUUCUAUCAAAAACUUGUUCCACACUUCCCUCUCCAAGCAAAAACACAUACACUUGUGCUAUCUCGUCCAUCAUGAAUAGAAUUUUCGGGCUUAGAAGGAGCCGCCGCCAACGCGGGGAAGAUCCACCAACCCCUGCAAGGAACGAGCAUCCGGCACAUGGAGGAGAGGAGGAGGAGCCACACGGCCAUGCCAUUGACGAGGCCGACGACCCCUUCAUCGACUUGGAGAGCAAGCGGGAGAUGCAGGCAUACAACCUCAUGAAGGAACACGAGUUCCUCCAUUCACCGGCAUUCGACCCCGCAUUCUUGCACCAAAUAGGAAUGGAUGUUGAGUUUGAUACUAUUUUCGAGCAUCUUGGUUGGAGUAGAGUUGCCCCCGUUCAUGAGCUUGGGUCACGUCUUUUGAUGAUCCAAAUUUUGGGCACUCUACAAAUUGUCGAUUAUGGUAUUACCUUCCGUUGCUUUGGAAUAGAUUUUGGUAUUUAUUGGAAGGAUCUUGCCAACCGUUUGGGUUUCCACGAGCGGUGCUCCAUUAACUUAGGUUUCUCCCUCGGGGGUUACCAACGUCAUGCUUUCUGGCAUUUGAUCUCAGGGCAAUACGUCGUUGGAAAGUUUCAGGGGCAUUCUGCCAACAUCCAUCAUCCCACUCUCAGGCUUCUCCAUAAGUGGAUCGCUAGUUCGUUCUUUUCAAGAGAUGAUACACAUCUUAGUUACGACAUAGAGUUGAAGUUGCUUUAUGCUGCGCUCAAAAAGAUUAAGGUUGCACUUGUUGUUGAGCUUGUUAAUCAUUGGUUGCAUUCCAUUAAGACUUCAACUGCUAUCUUGUGCACAUCUCUUAUUACUCGCCUUGUUGCAAGUGUUGAUCCCCAUGCUGCUAAUACCAUUAUUUACAUCACUACUCCUCAUAUCAUGAUUAAUGAAUCAUAUCUUUCGCAUGCACAUAUGAUUAAACAUGACGAAACAGGUAAAAAGAUUUUAUAUUAUUUUCUGGGAUAUACAAAUGAGAUCCAGUUACCUAACCCGGAUCUCGCUCUGUAUAAUUCCCCAUCACUCACCUUCACCCUCAUUGAGAGGGAAGGAGGACGCAGGAGCUCUAUUUCUCGCAGGAACUCACGGAGGAGGGAACAAGAAGAGCAGGCAGCACAAGCAACUAGAGCAGCACAGGCAGCAUAGCCAGCACCAUCCGCACAACACACUCCACCACCAGCUAUGCCACGGAUGGGAUGGACCCCUGCUAUACCUGCACCCGGAUUUACCCCUAGGUAUGGAUAUGGUAUGGGAUACGUUCCUCACCCCUACGAGGCUGGAGGUUCGAGCUGGCAGGAAGGAGGGUCGAGCUGGCAGGUGCACGGAGGCGUAGGCCCAAGCGAGCCAGAGGCAUAUGGGGUAGGGGGAUCCAGGCAUCACGAGCCAGGACACUCCUCAGAUUCCGAGGGAAUGCCACCCCCUGUUCGCCCUCAGGUCACACUGGACGUCCUCAACACUCGCAUGGGAGGACUGGAGCUCCAAAAUAGUCAGAUCCAAGGUACGCUGAAUGCCCACAUCCAGACUACUACCCAAUGGCAUCAGCAGACCCAGCAGAGCUUCAUAGACCUUGAGGAUGCAAGCCGUCACUGGCACGAGGCACAUAUGGCCUACUUACGAUCCAUGGGAUAUUUCCCUGGACCACAGCAGUGAGCUAGCUUGGGGGAAGACCCCCACAAGAGGUAACAUGUAUCUUACAUUCUUGCACUUAAUUUUAGUUCUUAAUUUCAGUAUUUAAAUUUUAUCAAUUUUUCAUCAUCUUUCAAAAAAAAUUCCACUCUCAUGUGCUCUAUGAUAUGUUAGUUUCUCUUCUGUUGAAAUGAUGAAUAGUUGCUCUAUCUAUAAUUCUCUAGUAUCUAAGUUAUAAUUUAGUGUUCAUCAAGAUUUAAGUUUGUUGGCUAAAAAUCUCUCAUUUUGAGAACUUGAAAUCUUGUGGGUUGCAAAUGCAUGAUCCUUUUCUAAGUUGUUGUGAGACAUGAUAUGGUAUAAAUAGAUUGCUAUGACUUUGUUCUAAGAGAAACUUGACAUCCGGAGUUUUCUUUUAAAAAAUUUAAAACAAAGAGUUCCUCAUUGAUUAUGAAAUACCUACCAAGGCCAUAUGACUUGCUUAGUAGUUUGUACACCUUUAGUCAUAUGCGGCUUGCGGCGCUUUGAGUUGAGUCAAAUUCUAGGUAUCCUAGAGUGAGAUUAUGGUCAUGCACCCAUGAUAUGACAUUCAUGCACCUAACAAAUAAAGCCGACUCUCACACUGAGAAGUUGUGCACAACAUGCACCCUUCCAUCCGCCAAAAAAAUAUGCCAACUCUUACCCUGAGAGUUGCACAUUAGCUUCCACCAAAUAAGUAUGCCAAACGCUCACCCUGAGGUUUGCGCAUCCCCAUACACAAUUUUACUCCUUACAUCACCAUCAUGACAUAUCUCCAUUUUCCUCUUUGAGAUCCCUUUGAAACAUGUGGGCAUCAGUUAUCCAUGAAAAAAAAUGAAGGAAAAGCCAAAGUGCAUGGACGGGAAAAUCAAAAUCCCCGUCAGAAAAAAAUAUAUAUAUAUAUAUAUAUAUAUAUAUAUGAUCCAUUUUUUAGGGCCCAUAUGUUUACAUUUUCUCAUUCUCCUCCUCAAAUAAAGAGAGUCAUGAUACAAGGAGUAACCAAAUAUAUUUAGAUAGGACUACCACCAAAAAUUCCACACACUUGCACAUCUCAAUCAAGGUGUAUGACUUGUGUCUCCUCAUGGUCCGGGCUUUGACUUGGCAACACAAGUGUCGUAAGUACGCCCACCUUUAUACCUUCCCAAAGCUCCAUUCUUAGCCUGAGUGGUAGGUCUUAAAGGCAAACACAAAUGCCUUUGGUGAGGAUUUCAUACACAUUGAGCGAUCGAGAGAAUCAUUCGAGGAACUUAUUUAUUUUGCAAAAAUUUAUAAAACCUCCGGAUUGAUGGUCUAUCAAGGGAUGAAUGGAAUGGUGAGUCUGUUACAACCAUUCUAUCUUGCAACCACCCAAGAACUUGGAAAAGCUAUAAGCCCCAUGACAAGUCAAGGUAAAGAGUGGAUAACAUGCCAACUUAUUUAAAUUGCAAAUGAAUGCUUUGUUAUAGGUAUGGUACUCUUGAAUUAUAUCGGCAUAGUAGCAACUCCUGAUCAACAACCAUACUUAAUUAUUUGCUCGAGACGAGCAAAGGUUAAGCUAGGGGGACUUGUUGGCAGUCAUUAUAGACCAAUCAUAAACUGCCAACUUGAUCCAAAAGGAGAAGAAGCAAUCAUAUAUAUACACACAUGCAUUUUAUUACUAACAAGUUCCACUUGUACCAUAGUGAUUAUAUUUUGUAGGAAUUAUAGUGCAACAAGUGGAAAUGUGCCAUACCACGAAGAAAGCGCAAAGUACCAAAAGACGUAUUCAGAAAUGCGCAAACCAAGAAAAUAGAGAAAGGACCAAACAACGCAGAACUGGGCCUGAUCGUAACCACGGGAGAGAUCCUGGCCCAGAGCCAAACCGACCACGCGAAGGCGGUGGCCAGGGGGACCCACCCAGGGUGCGGGCGCACACUGGUGCGGGCGCACCCCUAGAGGCAUCAAACCGGGCCCAUCUUUCUCAGGUGGUUGCAUGCCGCCAUGCAUAGGACGGUUUCACCUACUACCAAAUUUAGAUGCGACGAACCGUCCUAGUUCCACUAUAAAAAUAGAGGCACUCCCUCCUUUUCAACACACACAUCAUUUUGGAGUCAAUUUACCUCACACCUCUCACUUGUAUCUUUAGUCUAGAUUAGUAGUAGAGCAAGGCAAGAGCUAGCAAGGAGAGCUUGUCUCCUUGGAAGAAAGGAUCUUCUUGGUAUGAAUAAUAUUCAAUCUUCUUUCGUGAGCAAGUUCUGUUUAUCUUUAUAUGAUUAUGCAUAUGAACUAGAGUAUGGUUGUGUUCUUAUCAUGUUCAUAGUACAUGAACUAGUUCUUAGUUCUUGUGCUAUGUUCUUGAUAUGUUCAUCAUUGUUCUUCAUUGUUCAUCAGAUUAGUAUGAUUAGGAUUAGAAUUAGGAAUGGGAUGAUGGUUCAUUGUGCUGUGAUGGUUGCUCUUUGCCUAGCCUGUCACUCCGAAGGGGUGGGCCCAAUGGGGGUUAGCAGUUGUUUCCAAAUACGUGAACAUGGUGUUGAGGUAUGCAGGAAUCAGUGGAUGUGCGGGUAUCUUUCGGGUAGAGGGGUAGGUGGCAGGGUAGUGACAGCUCUAUCAUCCUUUGCAUUCCCCCACGAUCAGGUAUUCCAAUAGGAGUUCUGUAAAGUCUCUAUCGGCUGGGUAUCCAACUACGGGGAUCUCCCCUCAUCUCAGGCUUAGUUCUAACUCCAUUUAUUGCUAAUUAGAUGAUCUGCUAACAGUUCUAUGCAUAGUUAUAUGUGACUCAUGCCUGCUCAAGUAGAUUUAUUUCUUUACUCUUAUUUAUUAUUUCUCUUCUAUUUUAUCCUUGAGGUUGAUCCAAUGUGUGUCCACUAUCUUGAAUAUCAUGUUUAUUCCUGUUUACUCUAUGUCUUCCAAGCAUUCAAUAAGUAAUCAUGUUUACACCAUGUUUGAUCCCUUUGCCUUCCUACGGGAAUUAUAAAUUCGACACCCUUGAAUACUGACGGGUUGAAAUGCUACAAUGAUAGUUCUGUCUGCUUGCAGUUAUAUUACUUCUUCAUUCAUGAACUAUCGAUUGGAGUACCUAAGUACCGUUACUUAAGAUUGUAAUCCUUGUGCACUUUCAAGCGUAGUGCCAUAGCUUUGCAUAUUGCAAGUAAGGAUGGUUAGGAAGGCCAAUCCGACAUUCCUAAUUAUUGUUACCAGACUGCACUGCUAAGGUUGGCGCCCUCGAGUUGCCUUGGGUUAUCUCUCUGAUGUAGCGAUAGUUACGGUAUGCCAACACCCGACAUUUCUGGUGCCAUUGCAAAGGAUGGAUCUAUGGUCUAUUUUUAGUAGUGACGCUAAGAAAUGCCAACACUGACAAAUAAUAAAUGAGUACUAAGAUAGCAAAUGCGUAAUACCGGAGUGGAGAGGAGAAAGACUGUUCCCGUCUCCAAGUUGAGCUACGCGUGGCUACUCUUCCUGCUUACAACUCCAAGCUACUAGAGCUAGGCUAAGCUAGGGGCAGAGAGGCUAUGGAGCUAAGCUAGCUACCUAAGUGAGGGAGCUACUACACUAACACUUGCUCUAAGCUUGAGCUCUUCUUGUGUUAUCUUCCUUUCUCCCUUCCCUGAAAUAGGUGCUGAGGGUGUCCUUUUAUAGGCCAGGGAGUCUUCUGGAGGAAGGAGCUCGUAGGGGAGUGAAGUAGAGUGGCAAGCACCAGAAUGGUGUGGUGCGCACCAGGGAUCAAUGGCGGGCGCCACCCCUGAGCAGCCGCCUUAGCUUCCAACGGUCCACAUGAGCUCCUAGUGGCGGUUUCAGGUAGGACACGUGUUAGAAUAACAUUUUGUCACAUGUUGGAAAGCCAAAAUCCUUGUGACAGCAUCUUCUAGUCGUUGGAUCAAACCGACGUAAGUUUGGACGCCUUAGAUGGACUUUUGGAGGUGUCACAUGGAUCGGUGAUGUGGCAUGCCACGCUAGGGGUGGUGCCCGCUAGGUGGGCCCGGUGGCCGCCACCUUGGCAUGGAGCCCGCCACCCUAGUUGGCCUAUGUGGCGCCAGGUGUGGUAGGUUGCCUUCAGGUAGGUCCAAUCCGCUCUUGUUCCUAUUAUUUCUUGCAUACAAAUAAAUUUCUAUAUACAUAUGGAACUAGGUAAGUAAUAAGCAAAAUUGCACAUGUUCAAUAGUAUGAUAAAUGAAAAAUGAUAAUUGAGUAAAUGAAGUAAAUGGUAUUCCAGAGAUAGAGAAUAGAGACUCACUAAUAUAGCAAGGCAAUCUUAAGAUUUAGUAAAAGUAAAAGAAACCUAUGUAAUUACUAGUAUAAAGUCUACAGCCUAUGCCAUGCUAUACAUUUUCAUCUAUAGUGUGAUAAACUCAGAAAACAUCACAAGGAGCAUCAACUAAUGGGGAUAUUAAGACACAAGGGUCACCUCCUUCGCAACCGCACUCGGCUAGUCCUACGUACGGGGGGUGGACUAUAGAGGAACCAACGCAGCUAUAACCUACACGAACUACCAUAUGACCCGGCACAUCAGGGUGCCUCCAUAGGUACACAAUAUAUCUAGACACCACGUCUACAUAAUGUGCACCACCUAACUCACUCGAGUAUUGAAUUAGGCGCUUUAUGAUCAUAUAACGAUAAUCUUCAUAAACCACAUCUAUAUCGAAUAUGCAACUAGAAUAAACUAAGAACUGAAUAAAUAGCAAUAUAUUAAAGUAGAGCAAAGUCAUAAUGAAAUACAAGAUAAUAUUACCAAUUUCUAGAAGAUAGAUCUGGAAUCCCGAGCGGAGCGCCCGAUCUCUACUUGAACCUCGCUAGACGCCUAUAUUAAGAACUUGAAGAACUAGAGCUCUACUUCUAAUCUCUGGAAACCCUAACUUCUGACUACUCUUGACAAAUCAAGCAGGAGGAAUGAAUUGAAUCUAGGGUGUCCUUGGGAGGGGGGUCUGCCCCUCUAUUUAUAGCCUGGUGGAGUGCACGUGCGCCGUAGGAUCAAACCGACUUAACCAAGGGCCGAGAUGCAUCAAGAGAGGCGAUGGAGGAAGCUUCCAGAAGGGGGGAGCCAACCCUAACCACAGUGGACUAGCAGCGCCAGGAUGGGGACAGCCGGCCCCACCUGGUGGCCUCUACCGGUCCCGUUGCUUCGGGUGUCUUCUUGAGUCUUCCUGACCCCAUUGGCGGUGUUGUUGCAUCGCGGAUAAGUUUCGUGUUUAUUUUGCACUUGAAUCCCUCUUUUCAGCUCUCUAUGAAAUAAACCCUAGAAAAUACAAAAUAUGCAAAACUCAUGGAAAUUGUCAGUUUAAACUAAUGUGUUUUCAUGUUUUCUCUUAGGUCCAAAGUUCUAAUAAAAGUUGAUGUUAUCGACCGUCAACAUUGGGCUAGGAACACUCGUAGAUACUCCCUAUCUAGCCAGAUUUGUGGUGGCAUCGGGGGAAGUGACAAUCCCCUUGGUGUCUCUAUAAUCCACAUCACGUCAGGAGGUAAGGUAGGAUACAUGGUGCUAGGGUUAAGCACUCUCUGAGGUGUCUCUUUUCUCUAGGUACUCCCCUUAGAACAAUAUCUACACAGCUUACAAUAGGUUAGAACAAGACUGACGAAGGAGUUCUCUCUAUAUUACUCAUAUCUCACUAUCUUGUCUUGCAAUCCCAGGGGUUAAGUAUAGAAUUAGGUUAGUCAGAUGCACGCUUUCUCUAAGUGGUAAAAAUAUAAAUAACGAUACUCUAGAAUAUCUCCCGGGUGAAGUGCUCACCGAUAUCCGUGCACUUGCGAAUUUCUCUGUGUGUAUCUAAUAUCAAUAAGGACUACAGAGGACUCAAUGAAGCUAUAAUAGUUACCUUCAUGAUCUACCACAUGGCCCAAAAUAUAGGGUGCAUUCAUAGAUAAACAAUGUUUACCACCCACCCCUUGAUCGUCAGGAUGAGCGCUAUAUGAACAAGAGUAUAAACACAAAAGUACUCCAACUAUACUUAACAUAUAAUCAAUGUAGGCAAUGAACAUUAUAAUUAUGAAUAUAGAAUUAUGACAAGUCAUAUCAAGUAUUCGACUCACACACAAACUAGAACAAGAACUAGAGGAACACAUGAACUAAACAAUAAACUAAAUGAACUAGACAAGAACACAAUAAACUAGACGAUGAACUAGAUGAUCUAGAUGAUGAACUAGAAGAACAAAAGAUGAACUAGAAGAUAAAUAACACAAAUAGAUUAAUAAUGUUGAAUACAAGAGAGAAGUACAAGGUUGUACCUAGCCUCCUCGCGACUAGAUCUAGAAUCCAAGCGUGGGUUGACUGCUCUAAUUUCUAUUCUUAUGUUCUAGCUAUGCCCUAGUUGGUAGAUCUCUAGCUUAUCCUUUAGAGAGACAACUUUGAACUGAGUGAUGGAUAUGAGAUAUGAUUAUGGGAUUAAUUCUAGGGGGUCUGCCUAUACUUAUAUAGUCUGGUGGGAUGAACCACAACCCUCGGAUCAAACAGGCAUAAAACAAUGGUCAAGAUGCAUCGUAGGGGUCACUUAGAGACCGUCAUGCGAAGGAGAGUCCAAUUGGUAGGGGACCAGGCUAGCUGGCCCAGCAUGUGGAGCCAGUCAGCCCCACCUAGUCGCCUCUGGUCCUCUGCUUCAUUCUUGUGUCUUCUUGUGUCUUCUACAUCCUUCUAGUGUCACUUUCUGAUCCAUUUGCAUAAUGUGUCAUGUAGAGGAUGGAUUCUUUCCUUCCCCAUCUUCUAGAUAAAUCCAUGGAAAAUAUUAUUUCAUAGAGCUAUGCAAUCUUGUUGAUUUAGUCCCUUGUCUUAUGAUGAUGAUGGUUCUAGGGUCUUCUAGAGUCUUCUCAGUCGUAUCCAUCGAGGACUUUCUCUCUGGUGCUCUAAUAUAGCAACUAGUAUGUGAUGGAUUAUGAGGACGCUACGCUAGCUAGGAAGCAAAAUUUUCAACCACAUAAACAAGGAUCAGCUACAAGUUAUAGAUCACGGGAUUACCACUAGACGUGCAGAUGCAGUAGAAGCGACUCGAUGUAGUUGUGCGCAUAGUAGCAGUGCCGUGCAGUUGCGUGGUCGUCCACCAUGCCAAUCCCUCUCCCAUGGUUCGUCCUUGUGCUCCAGAUGCAGCACCUCCAAGGUAUCCUACACGUGCGGGGAAGAAGCGUUGCACCUCUGGACUGCUAGGUCCACGAGGAGCAAAAGGCACGAGCGUGGGUAAGUGGCGGCGGCUGCCUAAUGGCAUGGGAUUUACCCUGGCCGCAACCCCUCCCUCUCUUAUAUAGGCGUCCUCCAAUCAACCCCUAAACGGGGGCCCAAUUAGAAACCCUAAGCCUUGUCUAAUUUGGGUCCAACCCGAAUUAGGUGUCCAGUCCCUUAAGCGUGCGACCCUAUGGGUUCACAUACAUAUAGACAUGGGCCGAGUACUCCUAUUCGCUGAAUAGUUGACCGCGGCCUCUAGCUAGGUGUGACAACUCCUAUACGUACGCAAAAAUCAUAUCAGACGAACCACUACAUAGAUAUACAUGUUAUUCCCUUGCCACACGAUAUUUGGUUCAACUCGUGGGUUAACAAUUAACCCAAGCACGGCCAUGCAUUUGUUGAUCCAAUCACUUGAGUGAUCCAGUGAUAUCUCUCUCACUUAGAGAGGGGCAAGUUCCAUCUUGAUCAUCUAUGUCUCACAGCAUGUUCCCUGACCAAACCCGAAGACUACCUUUAUAACUACCUUGUAACGGAGUAGCAUUUAAUAGUCCCUAAGUAGGUCGUUUCACAUCUUGAGAACAUACGACAAUCUCAGGUCUAAGGACAUAACAUACAUGAUGUAUAAAGAGAUAAUAAGAACAUCUCAUGUUGGGUCAGUCCAGCCCCAUGUCAUACAUGUGCCCACAUUAUUAGUUUGACAUCUCUAUGUCUAUGACUUGUGAAACAAAGUCAUCAACUAAUACAUGUGCUAAUCUAACAUUCAUGUGUAUCCUCACACGAACUCUGAUCAGGGACAACAUUAGAAUAACCAUACAAGUAAAAGAGUUUCACAAACAAUUCACAUAAUUGUUAAUUAAUACAAGUUUGUCUAUAAUGGAUAUUCACUGAACUCAUAAUAUAUGUCAUGGAUACAAUUGUAAUAUCAUCAUCUCUAUGAUUACCUCUAGGGCAUAUUCCCAACAGUAUGUCCAUCUCAAUUGUUUUGAUGAGCUCUUUGCAACUGUGUGCUUAGAUUCUUCACUUGAGAUACUUUUAUAUGAUGAAAUAUUGAAUAUCCUACAAGACAAGUGAGAACAACACAACUCGUGGAACUCAUUAGAAUAAACCCCUAUAGCCCUACUUUACACAUUAAUUCAGCUCUCUUCCUCACUUAAUUGGCGAUUAAAAAUUAGAGUUAAUUACUGUCAACAAACUCCCCUAAGCAUAUCCUUGUAUGUGUUGCCAAAUCAAACCAGGAUCCUCGGAGGGGAAACCAUACUCUUAGAUCAUGAUGUGCAUGUGUGUGGACCUAUAUAUGUGGAAUGGCUAUGUAUAUGAUGGUGGAUACAUGGUGGAACAAUGUGUGUAACAUGGCAAGGGUGAAAAUAAUGGUAAGGGAACAUGAUGGAAACCUUAUCUUUAUUUGCUUGCUCCUUGAGAGGAUACUUCUCUCUAUUAAACUUUGAAAACUCUGAAGAACACUUGGGCUAGAUAAUCUUUUUUUCUUUUCUCUUCUCUUUCUCUUUUUUUUGAACUAGCAUUCCCAAGCUUCUUUUGCUGAUGAAUAGCAAGAGAUAAUAACAAGGAUUGUUGGAGCAUUUACUGAAUAGCGAUUAAAUAAUAAUAAGGUUUGAUGGAAUGGAAAAAGGAAAUAUUUUUGGUUGUUCAUUCCCAAGGUAGGAAUAGAACAUUUUUUGGUGGAUCUAGGUGGAAAGCAUGUAGUUGCAUACUUCUAGGGUAGAAGUAGCACAUUUGAGUGGAGUGUAUGUAAUCUUGAUCUUGAGAGUAUGGUGAACCUCUCGACAAGGGUCUUACAUGGGUUGAUCAAACUCAACACAAAGCAAGUAGCCUAUGAUCUAGUUUUCCUAAUCUAGGAUAUGUAUGGUUAUGGUAGGAAUUUAAUCACUCAUUAUAUAGGAACUCAUCAUGUGGUAAUUUUAGGUUUUUCAAAAGAUAAAUCUCCAGAACUCUAAUAUCACUAGGAACAAGAUAAAUAGUAGCUCAAAACCUUUUCAUAUCAUACUUAUCAAACACCUAGACUUAGAUCAAGCUUUUUGCAACCCAUAAGUUUCAGGUUUAGAGCAAUUUUUCAUGUCAAAACAAUCUUAUCCUAAAACUCGAGAGAAUCUAAGGUUGAACACUAAGCACUUGAAAGGGAUUACAGCAGAGCAACUAUUCAUCAUCUUCAUGCAAAUAGAUCAUCUAGAGCUUAAUUAUUCAAGGGCAGGUAAAACAAACAUGUACACUCUCUUUUUAUUACCUAAUCAUUUAAUAACUAAUACAAAUAGUAGACUCUUUUUAUUUUGUUUUAUUUAUUUUCUAAAAAAAAUAAAUCACACAUAAGUGAAUAGAUACUUAGCUAGAUACAUGGGGGACGCUCCACUCCCAAGGUGGAUGUUGACGUAGUCGCUCAUCUUGAAUCGUGAUAGCGUAGAGGUCCCUCUCGGUCUCCUCAAGUGGAUGCUUGAUGAAGAGGUCUUCCUAGAGUGGAUAAAAACUUCUAACUAUUCUGGUUGAAUCCUAUCAACGUUAGCAGUAAAACCAUUUAUGCCUUAUCUAUUUUAGAAACUUUAUCUAUUUUCAAAUAAGCACUUUUUUACAACAUCUCGAUAUAUUUUUGGAUUUUUUAUUUUUGUAUGCAGAUGUAAAAUUAUUUUUGAGCCUCCACAGUAAAAAGUCAAGACUUAUUUACAUGGGGGCAAGGUUUUUUAAUUGCAAUGCUAUGAUGCAACAAAAUAAAUUUUUAUUUUCUUUUUAAUGCAAUGGGAAAAUAUAAAUAUGUUGAAUGCUCAUGACUUGAAUGCAAAAAAAUAAAUAUGCUAAAGUUAAAACUAUGCAUGAAAGUAAAUAUAAGGAUGAUUACCGAUGUAACCUUUCAAUGAAGGUUUGGAGAUUUAGGUCCAUCGAACCGGACCUUCUGGCUCUAUCACAUAUUUGAAGGGGUGUCUAAGGGGACAGAGUCCUCCCCUAAUUUCUCUUCUUCUGUUAGUACCUAAGUAAUUGGUGGGUUGGGAAAUAGUGCUUCCUCCCCUUGUGCUGGAGUGCUUGUUGGUGUUAUCUCUUUCUUUUUCCAUACUUUCUUGGUUCUCGGUUUCUCUUUCUGUGACUCCACAUCUAGAAACUUUUCUUCUUCUUUGGCCUCUAGGGCAGUGUUGAUAUUUGGUAAUGCCAUCAGAAAAUGAUCCGCAAGCGCACGGAUAUCAGUGAGCACUUCACCCAGGAGAUUAUCCAGAGUAUCGUAUUUAUAUUUUUACCACUGAGAGAAAGUGUGCAUCUGACUAACCAAAUCUAUUGCUACUACCCUUUAGGCUACAAACAAUGUGAUUCGAUGUGAGCGAUGUGUAACACCCUAGGUGUUAAGCAUGCACUUAGUCUCAUCAAAGUCAUGCAUAAGCAUUUCCAUCAAGCAUAAGCAUCAUGAGCAUGACACUCUUUUCAAAUUAUGAUUUUAUGUGCUUCAUUUCCUGUGCUUUAAUUAUGUUAAAAAUGUGAUGCUUGUUUCUAAAAUUGUGAAAUAUUCAAAUUAGGUUGCUUUAUGUGUAAGAAGAAUUAAGAACAUUUUUGUGCAAUUUUUGGAGCUAUGGAAUUUGAGAAAUGGAAUUUAUACAAACUUUUCCAAAAUGAAUUUAUUUAAAACCUAGAGCUGAGUUUUAACUUGUAAUUCAAAUUUUGUUUGGAAUUUGGUCUUGCUUGUCAAAGCAAAGUUGUAGAGUUUUUAAUUUGGAACAACUUUGUUUUUGGGAGCAAGAGGUGAAAAUGAUUUUAAAUUGGUCCAAAUGAAUUUAGAAAGAAUUUGGAGAAAAGAAAUUCAAAAAAAAAGAGAAAGGGGCAGGCGCUGCUGGGCCAACCCCGCUUCCCUUUCGGCCCAGCAAGCAACCCGGCCUGCCUCCCCUCUCCCUCUCCCUCCCGCGCGCGGACGCGCCUCGCUCCACCCGGCGCCGGCCACGUGGCGGCCGUACGCCGGCGUUGGACGCGCCGCGGCCGGCCUCCAACCCCCCCUGGUCGGGACGCCGGCGCAGGCUCCCAGACCAUUUCGCCCGUUCUGUCCCCCGCGCCCUCCUUCUCCUUCCUCCUCCGCUCGCACCGCGCAGCAGCAGCCGCUCCUCCGCGCGCCAUUGCCGAAGAGAGCUCCGCCGCUCGUCGCCGGCCACACCAGAGCCUCAAGCUCGACGCCGAGAGCACCAGGGCACUCGCCGUCGCUAGGGUAAGCUCGUGCGAACGUUCUACCGAGGUGAGAGUCCGUCGAGCGCCGUGAAUCGCUCGCCGGAGUUACCCCGAGCUCGCCGGAGUACUCCGCCGCGACGGAUCUAGCGUUUCCCUGCGUCUUUUCGCUCGUUCUCUGUUGCGCUAGGUCGGUAGGAAGGUGAGGAAGCUCGGAGAGGCGUUUGCGCACGCUCUACCGCGCCGGAGCAGCCUGGCCACGGCGAGCAGCGCCGCCAUGCAUGCUCGCCGGAGGUGUUCCGGCCGCCCUCUGGUCGAUCCAAGGGUACCGUUGGGUGCGUCUUGCUGCGGGGAGCACGUUGGUGCUCACCCCGUGGCCGGAGACCUCACCGCCGGCGAGAUCCGCUCGUCGGAGGUGAGCUCCCUCUCGGUCUCGCUGACUGGUGGGGUCAGGGACCCACUGUCAGUCGCAGGGGUACCCCGGUGGGUGUAGAUCUGGGUGUGCGUAGCGUUUUUCGUCGGUUUUCUUGAAAAAGUAUUUUUCAGAAAUUGAUUUAAAGUUUGUAAAAUCUAUAUCUUGAGUUCUACAGCUCCAAAUUGAAUGAAAUAAAUUUUGGUGUGCUCUAUAUUUCCAGAUCUACAGUUUGAUGUAAUUGCAUGUCAUGUUGGAGCAACUUUUCUGUGUGAAUAUAUUUUAUCCAUGAUUUUGUUAAACUUGGAAAAUGCAUAGUAAAUGAAAUAUGGCUCAGAAAAAUGUGAAACUUGAUUUGUUGGCUUUGCAUGUGUGUUUGCUCACUGGGAAAAAGUGGGUACAUAUUAUUUAGUGUAUAAAUGAAUUUAUGGUAAUUUAAAUGCUUGCAUGGCAGUACUUUAUGAUUUUUAGUAAUUAAAUGGGUCUUGCAAUAAAUCUGGAAAAAUUUGUGGGUGUUUCUUAUGAUAUUAUGCAAAUUGUAAAAAUAUGAAAUCUGUGGUUUAACACUUGUAUCCCAGUAGAGUGAUUUUACUUGCCUUAUCAAUUAAUCUUGUGAUUUUUGUGGCUCAAAAUAAGUAUCCAAAAAUUAUGAAAAAUUUUCAGUAAACUUUAUGCUUAGCUGGAAGUCUCGUGUAAUUUUUGUGGAAUUUAUUGAUGAACAGAAUUGCAUUUGAUUUUUAAUGGGCUUAGAAAUGAAUAAAGAAAACUAUGAAUGGUUGUAUAUAUAGGUUGAAUGGAGUAAGUUGGGUUUGGUGUAUCUUUGAAGCAUCAUGGAGGUUGCUGGUUGCAUUUGAAAAAUAAUUAUAGAAGAGAAUGUAAUAGAUGUUUGAUUCAAUUGUUUAUUCUUGGAUGAUGUUGACUACCUUGUAAUAAGCAUGACCCAGUGCAUCACCUAUGCAUCAUAACAUGACUCCUUUGACACUCUCUCUUACAAGCAUCCACUCGGGCAUCUCACACUCCACUCAUGAGCAUAUAUGCAUCAUACAGGCUCGCAGGAGAACGAGGUGGGAACCGAGGAACCCGAGGAGCUUCAGGAGCAGGAACCUCCGGAAGCGCAGGAACCCGGAGAGGAACUGCAGGAGUGUCCGGAUCACCGACCCAGCACGUUUGAGAAAGGCAAGCCCCGGAGCAUUCUAAGUCUCCCUAUUCUCGCUAACUUAUAUAAAGUGCUAUACUUGUUCUACUGUAUUGCAUAUUAAGUGAUAGGAGUUGCCUGAUACCGUUGCUGCAUGAGUACUCCUUGUUAUUCCUACUCAUUCAACUACCUUGUCCUAUGUAGAUAGGCAUGGAGUCUAUGCUUAGCUUGCUUAGUUCGGUAGAAGUCGGGUGAUUCCCUGUCACCUGCGAGAUAUAGGUGGAUACCUGCUUGAUUAAGCAUUGGUUGCUCGGGGAAAAGAAUAACCAAGUGUGGAAUGAAUUUGGAGACCGGGCAGAGACUUAUGGUGGGUUGACCAUAGUGCCCCUGCCUGUGUCGAUUAAGGACCAAUCAUUGACGGCCCUCUUGUCAUGUUGAACGCAUGCCCCACAUUUAGCUGGAAGGAUAAGUCGUUCCGACCGCGAAGCCUGAGCACUAUCCGGGCCGGGAAUCGGCCCGAUGUACGCGCUGUAUUGGUGAUGGUUGAGGAGAACGACGAGGGCGCGGCGUGCAACCUUGGUAUACCUUGGAUACCUCGGUCGCCGGAACGGUCCUCGGGUACGGGCGGUGCCUGUCGAACCCGCGAAUUGGUCCCGGAUAGUGCAACACGGUGACCUGUAGCUCACUUGAUCAGUGAGUGUGGUUUGUGCGGGGAAUAAACUCGCCAGCUGGUUAGAAAUCGAUUCGAAUCGCCAUCGCUCCUGGAUAGUGAGCACUUGACAUGAGCCCUGUCCUCGUAGUAAGGACUAUGGAACACUUGGGUUAUAAUGAAACGGGUUUAUGACUGCUAUGAUGAGGUACUAUCAUAGUCUCAUACUUGCUUGUAAUAGUGCAGGUGCAAACCUAGACGAUAGGUAAUGAUACUUUCAAUUUGAGCCAAUUAAAAGAAGAAAGACUUAUGUAGGUUAUGUUAGCGAAAUGCUGCGGUUUUGCAAAAUGGUCGUUAGCUACCCCACUAUAUAGCCUUCAUGAUCCUUGAUGAGUCUUUAUUUUAAGUUUAUGACGGGUAAGUCUAGCUGAGUACCUUCUCGUACUCAGGGUUCUAUUCCCAUGUUGUUUUGCAGAUGGUCAAAUGUACUAUGGUUAUUGCAUCCUCUGUCUGUACCCAGCUAUGGGUGAUGACUAGACCAAGGGCGAUGGUCACUCCGUCUCUUCUUUUGCUUUUGUGCGAAUGACCGAACUAUGGCACUGUAUCAGACUUAUCGUGUGUGUUGUAAUUUCAAACUAUGAAGCUUCCGCUACUUGAAGAACUUGGUUUGUAAUAACUUUAAGCACUCCGAUGUAUUUUAUGAAUGUUGAAAUCUGGAUGUACUUGUGGAUGGCGACCGCUAAACUUAUUACGAUCUUGGCUGUUAUGUGAUGUGUGGUUUGAAAUCCUUCGAGAUUUCACGGACUACCGGGAUUAUAUGGGCUUAAGCGUGAUAGUUCGACUAUGCAAAUGGUCACUAUUAGGCUUAAUCUCUUAUAAUUUGGUCGGUUCUGUUACAGCUGGUAUCGAAGCAAGGUUUAGCGAGUUACUGUUCAUAAGUACGUUUUAAACAAAAAUCUAAACCGGUUUAGUAAAAGAUUUAAUUAAUUAAUUAAUAAUGAUCAAGGUGUUAAACUAAGUUUUGGGAAAAUUAUCUAGUGUGCCAUGGUCAUAGCCUUUAUGCCCAGUUAAGGACUCUAAGGUGGCUAGCUAAGUACUGACUUGGGGGUUAGUGCAUCAUAUUUUUAUUUCGUCGCUCAUACGGCGUGCAAUAGUAUGAGUGCCAUUCAUUUGAGUGGUAAUGUAUGGAUCAAUUCUUCCUCUACGCCAUGGUAAGUGGGAGUUGUGAGAGCAUGAUCGGAUACACUGCCGGUCUAGGGAAGUGUUGUCAGGUGCUGUGUCAUGCACACAUGUUGGUGUGUCUUGGGAACAGUACCGCAUGCUGGGAAUUCCGUCCUGAGAGGCGAUGCCGUCAAAAGGGCGAUGAUGUGGGUAGUGACACAUCGCAUGCAUGGACGGGUGUCUGUGUGUGCGAAGUGCCUAGUUUUAAAUUCCUAUUCUGCACGAUCAUACUGUGGGUGGGCUGAAAUGAGUUUUCUGCAGGUACCCUAACCACGUUCUCGCUUAGAACGCUAGUUACGUUAUGAGCGAACGUUGUAUGCCACCGCGUAUACCGCUUAGUGUUAACUUUUGUUUUCUAAGUUUGUGAGAUCGUAAGUUCGUACAUGCAUCAUGUGCAUUUCAUAUCAUUGCUUACUUUCCCCCUUAAUUUAAUCUAUCCCAAUUUUAAAUGAAAUAAAUAAAGGUAAUCCUCGCUCUUACCCACGGUAUUCCAUUUGCAGCAGAUGGCACGCACUAGGCUCACCGCUCGCAAGUCCACUGGUGGGCGGGCCCCUCGCCGUCCGUUGGCAGCUAGGAGCUCGCGACAUAAGAGCAAGUUCCUAGAGGAGUUUGGGAUGCCCAUUUUGCUUUGGAGGGUGCUCAGUUCGAUGGGGUAUCCCGAAGGAAGGGAGCCUCACUACUAUUGGGAUAAGGAGCCGCUUGGGGAUGAGACCCUGGUGGGGAUCGAGGCAGUUGUCCCUACCAGUGGAGGAGACCCUGCUUGGGGCGGUUGGGUGUACGAGUCCCGAGGUGUCACGCCUUUCCACGGUGCCAGCAGGGCAGCUUUCGCAGUUUUGAGGGACCUCAUGGAGAGGUUUCCACAGGAGCUGGCCCACGCCUUCGCUGGGGUGUUUCCCCGGGGUGACCCUUACACUUCGGUGUGGGAUCAGUCCGAGGUGAAUGCUCUAGAGAGGAGUGCGGAUGAGGACCAGCACAGUGACAGUGCAGCUAUGAGUGCCAUGUACGCGUUGAUGAAGACCUAUGGAGGCCUGGAGCGUUGUUUGGGUCGCUUGUCCGGGUCUCUUCUCACCGUCCAGGAUGAGAAGCGUCAGUUGCAGCGUGAGUUUGACUCUGAGGUUGAGAGGCUACAGGCAGAGUUGGCUCGUGUGACCAGAGAGAGAGACCAGGCAGUCCAGAAGAACAGUGAGCUGAGUCAGGACCUGCUUGCAGUACGGGAGCAGAAGGACAGGGUGACUACUGCUCACAGGAACUGCGAGCGCAUGCUAGUCCAUGUGCUUGGACAGAGGAAUGAAGCCUGGCACGAGGAGGACACUUUGAGAGCCCGACAGCUGGAGCUAGAGCAGCAGCUAGCUAAUGCCGAGGAGUACAAUGAGAACUUGCAUGAGGAGAUCCACCAGCUGCAUAACCAGCUCCAUCCUCACCACCUGCCUGGAGCAGCGGAACUAGACUCUGAGGACGAGAUGGACGCGGAUCCCGAGAUAGGAGCAGCUGCUAGUGGAGAUGAGGAUGAGGAUGGCUCCGGCAUGGACAGUGACCAUAGCGACUAGAUGCUAGGGCUCUAGAGCUAGUCUUUCCUCUUUUGUGAUGUAUGUUGCGUGGCAUGUCAUGUACUUUUGGAUCUGGGCUGUGUAAGACUUUAUGAGUUGAUGCUGAAAGUCCAGUGUAUGUAUGCUGGCAAGUUGGAUGUACGCGAACCUUGUUGCGUGAAUGUUAAGUAAUCUGUUAGUGAUGUUGUGCGUGGAUGAUGAGUUGUUGUGCCUUUGUUUAUUGUGUGAAUUUAUUCCCUCAGUAAAUUCAGUAUGGCACGAUUUUACACAUUUUCUACCGGUUGAUGGCAACUCCUAAUGAUUGCUUAUCAUUGGCGUAUACAGAUGGUACAAACACGUGGCGGGGGUAACAGCAAUCCGGGCCUUGGAGCAGGUACCUCCGGAGGUGGGGCUCAACGGAAUGAGAACCGAGCGCCAACACCACCACCGCCUCCCCCGUACACUGCGGAUGUGUUUUUCGCGCAGUUUCUGGGAAGCCAACGGAACAUGGAACAGAUGCAGCGCAACAUGGAAGAAGCUUUGCGCAACAUAGCUGACAACACCCGUCGCGGGGAUAAUCAGGGUGGCCGGGAGGUCAACCAGUACAGUUCGUUCAAGGACUUCAUGGAUACCAAGCCACCAAUCUUCAAAGAGGCUUUGGAACCCCUCGAGGCAGAUGAAUGGAUCAAUACCAUGGAGCAGAAGUUUCGUCUUCUUCGGAUGACAGAAGAACUCAAGGCUGAAUAUGCGGCACAUCAGUUGCAAGGACCUGCUGGGAUUUGGUGGUCCCAUCACCGUACCACCUACCCAGAAGGGACACCAAUCACCUGGAACCGCUUCACCACCGCUUUCCGGGGAAAUUACAUUCCUCCUGGUGUGGUUGAAAUGAAGGUUGGGGAGUUCAUGAGGCUGUCCCAAGGGACGAAGUCUGUGAAGGAGUAUCUACACGCUUUCAACAAUCUCGCUCGCUAUGCCCCUGAGUUUGUGAACACGGAGGCUAAGAAGAUUGCUAGUUUCCAGAGAGGUUUGAAUCCAAAGAUGCUGAAGACCAUGGGUACAGGGGCCAGGGCUACUUUCAAUGCCUAUAUCAGUGACUGUCUGACCCAAGAGAACAAUAACAACAACUACAGUGCAUCCAAGUCACGUAAAAGGGCUUUUGAAGCAGGAUCAUCCCAGUCCAGGGCACCAGUGGCAGGGCGACAGCAGUAUCGUCCUCCUGCCCCGGGUGCUAGGUUCCGACCACCGCAGAGAAGGAACACCGGGCAUCCAACACAGCAGAAGCCGUACAAGGUGGCGAUAGCUCCUGCCAAGCCAAAGGCAAUUCAAGCUGCAGCACCUGCCGUCAACAGUGCGCCCAAGGGUCCAUGCUAUAACUGCCACAAGAUGGGGCACUUUGCUAAGGAAUGUCCCAACCCCAAGAGGCAGCAGCCAACCUAUCCAGCUCGUGUGCACCAUACCUCGAUCGAGGAGAUUCCGGAAGGAGAACCGGUAACAGCUGGUAUGUUUCCUGUCAACCAACAUCUUGCAGUUGUUUUGUUUGAUUCUGGAUCAUCGCAUUCAUUCAUGAGCCAAGCAUUUGCACGAAAGCAUGAUCAGCCAGUUACUGAGUUAGGUUAUGGCUAUCGCAUCAGCUCAGCCAGAGCCGAUGUGUUGACUAAUAAAACGGUAACAGGAGUUACCUUGGAUAUCAGUGGUCGGAGGUUCCGUGUAAAUCUUGUGGUCAUGCCAGGGCUGGUUUUGGAUGUCAUCAUUGGGAUGAACAAAAUGACUGAUUGGGGUGCGGUUAUAGAUACCGGGAAUAGAACUCUAUCCCUUAGAGACCCGCAAGGGAAGGGGGUGCUUCAGGUCAAGCUACCUAGACGAUUGGACUUCGCCAGUCUUUCAUGUGUAGUACAGGUAGUCUCUCUAGAACACAUACCCGUGGUAUGUGAGUUCCCUAAUGUGUUUCCUGAGGAUUUACCAGGACUUCCCCCAGAUAGGGAGGUAGAGUUUGCGAUCGAGUUGAUACCAGGUACAGCACCAAUAUCUAGAAGGCCGUAUCGGAUGCCCCCAAAUGAACUCGCUGAGUUGAAGAAUCAACUAAAAGAGUUGCUGGAUAAAGGGUUCAUCCGGCCAAGUUCGUCGGAAUGGGGUUGUCCAGCGUUGUUUGUGAAAAAGAAGGAUCAGUCGUUGCGCAUGUGCGUGGACUAUCGUCCACUCAAUGCAGUGACAAUCAAAAAUAAGUAUCCCUUGCCAAGGAUUGAUAUCCUGUUUGAUCAGUUAUCCAAGGCAAGAGUGUUUUCUAAGAUAGAUUUGAGAUCUGGGUAUCACCAAAUCAAGAUUCGUCCGCAAGAUAUCACGAAGACUGCUUUUUCCACCAGAUAUGGGUUGUAUGAGUAUCUAGUCAUGUCCUUUGGGUUGACAAAUGCUCCUGCAUACUUUAUGUAUCUAAUGAAUUCAGUCUUUAUGCCGGAAUUGGAUAAGUUUGUUGUGGUGUUUAUCGAUGAUAUCCUGGUGUAUUCAGAAAAUGAGCAAGAUCACGCCGAACAUCUGAGAAUCGUGCUGACACGAUUACGAGAGCAUCAGUUAUAUGCCAAGUUCAGCAAGUGUGAGUUCUGGUUGAAGAAAGUUCCAUUCCUAGGGCACAUUUUGUCUGAAGAAGGGAUUGCCGUAGAUCCAUCAAAAGUGCAGGAAGUCAUGGACUGGAAGGCACCAACUUCUGUCUCGGAAGUUAGAAGUUUUCUUGGUCUGGCCGGGUAUUAUCGUCGUUUCAUACCUGACUUCUCCAAGAUUGCUAAGCCAAUGACAAGUUUGCUACAAAAGGAUCAUAAGUUCGUCUGGACGGAAGGGUGUGAGUUAGCCUUCCGCACCUUGCGAAAGUUGCUAACCACUGCUCCCGUUCUGGCACAACCUGAUAUAGAGAAGCCUUUUGAUGUGUUUUGUGACGCAUCGAAGAGUGGCCUGGGGUGUGUGUUGAUGCAAGAUGGCAGGGUGAUAGCUUAUGCUUCCCGACAGUUGAGAAAGCAUGAAGUCAACUAUCCAACGCACGACCUUGAGUUAGCAGCAGUGGUACAUGCUUUGAAGAUCUGGAGACAUUAUCUGCUAGGAAAUAAGUGUCACAUUUACACCGAUCACAAGAGUUUGAAGUACAUCUUCACUCAGUCCGAGCUGAAUAUGAGGCAACGACGGUGGUUAGAGCUAAUCAAGGAUUAUGACCUGGAAGUUCACUAUCAUCCAGGCAAAGCUAAUGUGGUCGCAGAUGCUUUGAGUCGCAAACCGCACUAUCAAAUGGUUCAACCGUUGUUUGAAGAUGGGUUCAAUCUUAUGCAUCCUGAGGUCUUAUGUCAUAUACAACUCAGUUGUUCACUCGAGAGUCAAGUCAUUGAAGGUCAGAAAACAGACAAGGGUAUUUUCCACAUCAAAGAGAAGAUUAAAGAUGACCCAAAGACUCAGUUUCGGGUUGAUGAGAAGGGGGUACUGUGGUUUCAACAGCGGUUAGUGGUCCCGAAAGAUCGGGAGUUGAAGAAUCGCAUCAUGGAUGAAGCCCAUCUCUCUAAGCUUUCUAUUCAUCCUGGCAGCAGCAAAAUGUAUCAAGAUCUAAGGCCCCACUUUUGGUGGACCAAGAUGAAGAAAGAAAUAGCCGCUUAUGUGGCCCGUUGUGACACGUGUUGCAGAGUUAAGGCCAUCCAUAUGAAACCUGCAGGUCUGUUACAACCGUUAUCAGUUCCGGAGUGGAAAUGGGAAGAGGUCAGUAUGGACUUUAUCACAGGUUUACCAACCACAAGGAAGGGGAAUGACUCGAUUUGGGUAAUCAUAGAUCGAUUGACCAAAUCGGCCCAUUUCAUCCCUGUGAAGACUCGUUACAGACCUCCUGAGUAUGCCGAUAUAUAUAUGGCUGAGAUUGUCAAGUUGCAUGGUAUUCCCAAAACCAUCAUAUCGGAUAGAGGACCGCAGUUCACUGCUCACUUCUGGGAGCGCAUGCAUAAAAGUUUGGGGACCAGUUUGAUAAGAAGCACGGCGUAUCAUCCCCAGACUUCAGGCCAAACUGAGAGGCUAAAUCAAGUGUUGGAAGAUAUGCUGAGGGCCUGUGUGCUAUCAUCCAGGGGAUCGUGGGAAUCAUGGUUACCUUUGGCUGAGUUCUCAUACAAUAAUAGUUAUCAAUAGAGCAUCAAGAUGGCCCCGUUCGAAGCUUUGUAUGGGCGGAGAUGUCGAACUCCGUUAAACUGGGUGGAACCUGGUGAAAGGAGAUACUAUGGUAUCGACUUUGUGAAUGAUGCCGAGAAAAAGGUGCAGAUUAUACAGCAACAUAUGCAAGCAGCGCAAUCACGACAGAAGAGUUAUGCUGAUAAGAGAAGAAGGCCACUUGAAUUCAACAUAGGUGACUAUGUGUACCUCAAGGUUACGCCAAUGAAGAAAGUUCAACGUUUCCGAGUUCGAAGCAAGCUUGCACCCAGAUAUGUGGGACCGUACCAAGUGCUAGAGAGGAAAGGCCCAGUGGCCUAUAAGAUUCAGUUACCUGAAGAGAUGAGCUCGAUCUUUCCGGUCUUCCAUGUGUCGCAACUACGGAAAUGUUUGAAAGUGCCUGAGCAAAGAAUUGAACCUCGAGGGAUCAAAAUAAAAGCAGACUUAGAGUAUAAAGAGCAGCCAGUGGGAAUUGUGGAUACCAAGGAGCGAGUAACCCGAAACAAAGUUGUCAGAACGUACAAAGUGGUGUGGAGUCAUCAUGACGAUAGGGAUGCCACUUGGGAAACAGAGGAUUACUUAAAAGCAGUUUAUCCAAAAUUUCAUAAGAAAUGGUUAGUAACCCAAAAUCUCGAGACGAGAUUUCCCUAAGGGGGGAAGGGCUGUAACACCCUAGGUGUUAAGCAUGCACUUAGUCUCAUCAAAGUCAUGCAUAAGCAUUUCCAUCAAGCAUAAGCAUCAUGAGCAUGACACUCUUUUCAAAUUAUGAUUUUAUGUGCUUCAUUUCCUGUGCUUUAAUUAUGUUAAAAAUGUGAUGCUUGUUUCUAAAAUUGUGAAAUAUUCAAAUUAGGUUGCUUUAUGUGUAAGAAGAAUUAAGAACAUUUUUGUGCAAUUUUUGGAGCUAUGGAAUUUGAGAAAUGGAAUUUAUACAAACUUUUCCAAAAUGAAUUUAUUUAAAACCUAGAGCUGAGUUUUAACUUGUAAUUCAAAUUUUGUUUGGAAUUUGGUCUUGCUUGUCAAAGCAAAGUUGUAGAGUUUUUAAUUUGGAACAACUUUGUUUUUGGGAGCAAGAGGUGAAAAUGAUUUUAAAUUGGUCCAAAUGAAUUUAGAAAGAAUUUGGAGAAAAGAAAUUCAAAAAAAAGAGAAAGGGGCAGGCGCUGCUGGGCCAACCCCGCUUCCCUUUCGGCCCAGCAAGCGACCCGGCCUGCCUCCCCUCUCCCUCUCCCUCCCGCGCGCGGACGCGCCUCGCUCCACCCGGCGCCGGCCACGUGGCGGCCGUACGCCGGCGUUGGACGCGCCGCGGCCGGCCUCCAACCCCCCUGUCGGGACGCCGGCGCAGGCUCCCAGACCAUUUCGCCCGUUCUGUCCCCCGCGCCCUCCUUCUCCUUCCUCCUCCGCUCGCACCGCGCAGCAGCAGCCGCUCCUCCGCGCGCCAUUGCCGAAGAGAGCUCCGCCGCUCGUCGCCGGCCACACCAGAGCCUCAAGCUCGACGCCGAGAGCACCAGGGCACUCGCCGUCGCUAGGGUAAACUCGUGCGAACGUUCUACCGAGGUGAGAGUCCGUCGAGCGCCGUGAAUCGCUCGCCGGAGUUACCCCGAGCUCGCCGGAGUACUCCGCCGCGACGGAUCUAGCGUUUCCCUGCGUCUUUUCGCUCGUUCUCUGUUGCGCUAGGUCGGUAGGAAGGUGAGGAAGCUCGGAGAGGCGUUUGCGCACGCUCUACCGCGCCGGAGCAGCCUGGCCACGGCGAGCAGCGCCGCCAUGCAUGCUCGCCGGAGGUGUUCCGGCCGCCCUCUGGUCGAUCCAAGGGUACCGUUGGGUGCGUCUUGCUGCGGGGAGCACGUUGGUGCUCACCCCGUGGCCGGAGACCUCACCUCCGGCGAGAUCCGCUCGUCGGAGGUGAGCUCCCUCUCGGUCUCGCUGACUGGUGGGGUCGGGGACCCACUGUCAGUCGCAGGGGUACCCCGGUGGGUGUAGAUCUGGGUGUGCGUAGCGUUUUUCGUCGGUUUUCUUGAAAAAGUAUUUUCCAGAAAUUGAUUUAAAGUUUGUAAAAUCUAUAUCUUGAGUUCUACAGCUCCAAAUUGAAUGAAAUAAAUUUUGGUGUGCUCUAUAUUUCCAGAUCUACAGUUUGAUGUAAUUGCAUGUCAUGUUGGAGCAACUUUUCUGUGUGAAUAUAUUUUAUCCAUGAUUUUGUUAAACUUGGAAAAUGCAUAGUAAAUGAAAUAUGGCUCAGAAAAAUGUGAAACUUGAUUUGUUGGCUUUGCAUGUGUGUUUGCUCACUGGGAAAAAGUGGGUACAUAUUAUUUAGUGUAUAAAUGAAUUUAUGGUAAUUUAAAUGCUUGCAUGGUAGUACUUUAUGAUUUUUAGUAAUUAAAUGGGUCAUGCAAUAAAUCUGGAAAAUUUUGUGAGUGUUUCUUAUGAUAUUAUGCAAAUUGUAAAAAUAUGAAAUCUGUGGUUUAACACUUGUAUCCCAGUAGAGUGAUUUUACUUGCCUUAUCAAUUAAUCUUGUGAUUUUUGUGGCUCAAAAUAAGUAUCCAAAAAUUAUGAAAAAUUUUCAGUAAACUUUAUGCUUAGCUGGAAGUCUCGUGUAAUUUUUGUGGAAUUUAUUGAUGAACAGAAUUGCAUUUGAUUUUUAAUGGGCUUAGAAAUGAAUAAAGAAAACUAUGAAUGGUUGUAUAUAUAGGUUGAAUGGAGUAAGUUGGGUUUGGUGUAUCUUUGAAGCAUCAUGGAGGUUGCUGGUUGCAUUUGAAAAAUAAUUAUAGAAGAGAAUGUAAUAGAUGUUUGAUUCAAUUGUUUAUUCUUGGAUGAUGUUGACUACCUUGUAAUAAGCAUGACCCAGUGCAUCACCUAUGCAUCAUAACAUGACUCCUUUGACACUCUCUCUUACAAGCAUCCACUCGGGCAUCUCACACUCCACUCAUGAGCAUAUAUGCAUCAUACAGGCUCGCAGGAGAACGAGGUGGGAACCGAGGAACCCGAGGAGCUUCAGGAGCAGGAACCUCCGGAAGCGCAGGAACCCGGAGAGGAACUGCAGGAGUGUCCGGAUCACCGACCCAGCACGUUUGAGAAAGGCAAGCCCCGGAGCAUUCUAAGUCUCCCUAUUCUCGCUAACUUAUAUAAAGUGCUAUACUUGUUCUACUGUAUUGCAUAUUAAGUGAUAGGAGUUGCCUGAUACCGUUGCUGCAUGAGUACUCCUUGUUAUUCCUACUCAUUCAACUACCUUGUCCUAUGUAGAUAGGCACGGAGUCUAUGCUUAGCUUGCUUAGUUCGGUAGAAGUCGGGUGAUUCCCUGUCACCUGCGAGAUAUAGGUGGAUACCUGCUUGAUUAAGCAUUGGUUGCUCGGGGAAAAGAAUAACCAAGUGUGGAAUGAAUUUGGAGACCGGGCAGAGACUUAUGGUGGGUUGACCAUAGUGCCCCUGCCUGUGUCGAUUAAGGACCGAUCGUUGACGGCCCUCUUGUCAUGUUGAACGCAUGCCCCACAUUUAGCUGGAAGGAUAAGUCGUUCCGACCGCGAAGCCUGAGCACUAUCCGGGCCGGGAAUCGGCCCGAUGUACGCGCUGUAUUGGUGAUGGUUGAGGAGAACGACGAGGGCGCGGCGCGCAACCUUGGUAUACCUUGGAUACCUCGGUCGCCGGAACGGUCCUCGGGUACGGGCGGUGCCUGUCGAACCCGCGAAUUGGUCCCGGAUAGUGCAACACGGUGACCUGUAGCUCACUUGAUCAGUGAGUGUGGUUUGUGUGGGGAAUAAACUCGCCAGCUGGUUAGAAAUCGAUUCGAAUCGCCAUCGCUCCUGGAUAGUGAGCACUUGACAUGAGCCCUGUCCUCGUAGUAAGGACUAUGGAACACUUGGGUUAUAAUGAAACGGGUUUAUGACUGCUAUGAUGAGGUACUAUCAUAGUCUCAUACUUGCUUGUAAUAGUGCAGGUGCAAACCUAGACGAUAGGUAAUGAUACUUUCAAUUUGAGCCAAUUAAAAGAAGAAAGACUUAUGUAGGUUAUGUUAGCGAAAUGCUGCGGUUUUGCAAAAUGGUCGUUAGCUACCCCACUAUAUAGCCUUCAUAAUCCUUGAUGAGUCUUUAUUUUAAGUUUAUGACGGGUAAGUCUAGCUGAGUACCUUCUCGUACUCAGGGUUCUAUUCCCAUGUUGUUUUGCAGAUGGUCAAAUGUACUAUGGUUAUUGCAUCCUCUGUCUGUACCCAGCUAUGGGUGAUGACUAGACCAAGGGCGAUGGUCACUCCGUCUCUUCUUUUGCUUUUGUGGGAAUGACCGAACUAUGGCACUGUAUCAGACUUAUCGUGUGUGUUGUAAUUUCAAACUAUGAAGCUUCCGCUACUUGAAGAACUUGGUUUGUAAUAACUUUAAGCACUCCGAUGUAUUUUAUGAAUGUUGAAAUCUGGAUGUACUUGUGGAUGGCGACCGCUAAACUUAUUACGAUCUUGGCUGUUAUGUGAUGUGUGGUUUGAAAUCCUUCGAGAUUUCACGGACUACCGGGAUUAUAUGGGCUUAAGCGUGAUAGUUCGACUAUGCAAAUGGUCACUAUUAGGCUUAAUCUCUUAUAAUUUGGUCGGUUCUGUUACACGAUGUAUAGAGAAGACUACAACCGCACUCUCGUUCUAACCUUGGUAAGGAUGAUCUACUAUUCUAUUGGGGAGGCUUACGGAAUCUAGACACCACAGAGGAUGUUCGACCCGCACCUAUAAACCCUAUCGAUCCUUCUAACGGAAUGUGGGCUACAAAGGUAACUCGGAAAUAUCACGUUCCUCGCUACUACCACGGUCCAGCUAGAUAGGGGAUAUCUAUGAGUACCCUAGCCCAAACACCACGUUUACGCUAGCAAUGAUUACUCUAAACUCAACCGGAAGACAUUAAAGUAAACUCAUAAACCAAAGAACAAUAAGAACAAGAACUUACUAGAAUUUAGAAGUCGAAAUACUGAAGAAUCCUAGGAGCAAGCCUCGGGUUAGGAGACUUGAUCCCGUAGGUACAACCUCGGAGUAGACACCGACAGGCCGGGCUUCCUCCGAUCUACACCUCCACUCUAUCUCUCUCAAUCUAGAAGAACUUAGAAGAACUAAUUCUAAUCUCACAUUGGAUGCUAAGCCCUAAUUCUAUAUAGAGGAAAGGUUAUCCUUCGAGGGCACCUCUCAACUCUAUAAUGAUUUGUUCUCCUCCAGGGGCCAGGGGCCUUGCUUAUAUAGCCUCCUCCUUUUGUGCCUUUUUGGUUGAGCAGGCGAUGUGGUACUAAACUUUCCGCCAUAUCUCAUUAAAAUGCACAUAGGCCUUAAUGGACCAAAAUCUGAUUUGGGCCCAAUUAAUCUCGUAGCUCUUUUAUGUGGAGUUCUUCUUUUAUUAAUAUCUCUUGAUUCCGAACUCCAAAUAUAACAAACAAUAUAUGCAUUUCGAUCAGCUCGACGAGAUCUUUGUAAUGGUGUACUCCAUUCUGUAAUUGGUGCUUGCACCAGGGCAGGCGCCCUGCCCCCGUGCCCGUUCGGCCUCCCGUUCGUUCCCGUGGCUUCUGGACUCUUCUAGAUGAUAGAAAAUUGCGCAGCACGUUAAUAUAUCUAUGUAAAACCGACGUGUGGGCCUUUCCUCCGUAUUUCCUAAUAACCCCCCGCAGAAAUAGACAAACACCAAAACUCGUGGAAUUCUGUCAGAUAAAACCCUAAGUCUGGGUGUUGGUUGCAUUUGGAUCCUUUUCUUUAUUCAUUUGAUGAUUAUAUUUGGUACUUAAGGACCGUCAACAAACUCCCCCAAGCUUACCUCUUGCUCGUCCCUGAGCAAGGAUAGACUCAAAAGUUUCUGCAGUGAUUUCAUGCCUUAAAAGUACACAUGUGUUCAAGCAAGAUCUCAUCUCUCUCCGUUUUCUCAGUCGUCCUGGGAUUCGCUGGAUGGCGUAGUCGGUGGUUCCGGCGGCUAUAACUAUCUUCUCUUUCCACAUCUGACUCAGUGCUACGGUCUCCUCAGGACGGUUCUGUUCAAGCUGUAUGUCUUCAGACCUUACCACUUCUCCUUCGUAGUCUGCCCAUCCGUCCUUGAUGAUUUGCCUCUUCUGGUUUCGGUUGCGUCGCCUUCUUCUCAUCCUUAUCUUCUUAGAGGGGAAGUGCAUGUGGACUUCUCCAGUUCCAAUAUAGAUGAUAACUUUGAUAGUCUUGAGGAACGGCCUUCCAAGGAUGGUGGGUGCAUCAUACUCGUCUUCUCCCAUGUCAAUGGCCUGAAAAUCAUCUGGAGCUGAAUAUAUAUUGGCUGUAGGGGCAUGGUUCCAUGCAGGAGCUGAUAAGUGACUACGGCCAUUAUGUUGUCAUCAGAUCCAGUGUCAUAGAGUGUCUUCUAAAAAGAGUAUCCAUUGAUUGUGCACUCGAUGCUUGGAACACCAGGGUCAUCCUUCUUGAUCAGGAAAGGCGACUUGAGUCGACGAUUUUGACCUCCUCCGACAAGGAUCCAAUGUUUUAAGUCUUCUGGACAAUACUUCUCACCGUCUUCAUCCUUCAGGUGCAUCAUUUGAUUAGGUGUGGACCUUGACGUCUGCACCUCUUGAUACGGAGUCACCCAUGUUCUUUGUUUGCUCAGCAGUUCGAAGUGCGGUGUUGGCAAUAUCCUGCUCAGUGUGUUUGUGCUCGUAGAUCCAGGUCCUUCACUUGGUGGAGUCUGGGAGUUGUAAAACUCCUCCAUGUUUUGCUCGUAGUGUACCUGCUCAUAGAGACAAGGCAGAGAUCAAGUGCAUGGGCCCUGUUGGUGGAAAACACCAACAGAACCAAAAGUGUAUUUGUUCUUCUCUAACCUUAAGCAUAGUGAGCAAGACAAAGUUGAUGGAUCAUGAGUGUAGCAUUUGUCAGAUCAGAUGGCUCAACCUAAUGGAAAGACAAUCUAUCUAUAUUUAUGUUUUGUUUAUAUCUUCCAAAGAUUGAAUGUGCAACAUUUUAGCUUACUAGGAACAAAGAUUAAAGGACUAAACAUGCUGAAUCAGUUGAGUUGGUUAAUUUGGAGUUAUAAAUCAUACAUGUUUGUCUCUUUAUUUUAUGUGAAUGCCAGAACCAAGGAGAGCUUAUAAAAGUGAUAGUCGAGUACCUUAAGAUGUUACCUUACUUUGAAGAGUGAUGGUACAGUAUCACCUUGUGGAAGCUUUCCUUUCUUAGCGGUUGUGCAUCGUGUUUGUGGCACUCUUCAUAGAUCAUCUCUUUAUGAUGAAUGAGCUAUGUCCUUCUUGUGCAAAUUGUUAAACUUCAUGUGUCUCCUUUAUCUCCAAUGAGUUUGUAUCUCAGGACUUCCCAGGUUGAUAUUGAAAGUUUUCCUGGAGGGGUUAGUCCAAAAAAAUAUCCCAUAUCUACUAUAGCAUACUAUCGGCUCAAAAAUCAACCUAGACACCAUGUUUAAUUUGAUUUAGGAGGGCAUUUUAACCUAAGCACCAUGCUUAAUUUAAAAAUCCUUUGGAAGUAAGAUCAUCAUUCCUAAACUAAGCACCAUGCUUAAUUAAGAUAUAAAUAAAACUACUCCAAACCUAGACAUAUACUAAAGCAAAUAAAGGUAGCAUGAGAGCAUUUAUAGAGAUCUACUCAAGUGGAGAUGAAGUAGUGUGAUUAGUAUUUAACAAAUUGAGCAUGUCUCAAAGGUAAGGACAACCAACAUAGCAACAUGGCAAAGGAGGUUCUUAUGUAAGGUAUUUCCCCCAAGCUUGAAUUUUGCAAAAUUCAAGAUUGGAUGAAUUUAAUUAAAUGUUGCAUGCUGAUUGGUUGGGCAUACCUUGCGCCUAUCAUUCCUCGUAUCUUCUUGCUCCAAUCCUAGAAAGGUUAGACAAGAAUACCCGAAGGAAUAUUUCUACAAUUAUCUUUAUAUGCUCAAUACACAAGGCAAUGUUGCAAAUAGUUCAUGUUACGAUCUGAUAAGUGCUUGUUUUAGGACACUAAGCUUGUCCUUGGGAAACCAUCAAAUUAUGUUGGUGAAGUGGUUUCCCCUCCAACACCAACCUAAGCGUGCCUAUAUCAAGAUCGACUCAACGAUAUCUACAAUUUUUAUUAUAGACAUAUGCAUCGAUAACCACCCCUUUAAAGUUUUUAUAAAUAGAAAGAAAGAGGGGGUUGGAGAUCUCAAAUGCGGUGAUGUUGGAGAGACCAAUUGAUUGGGGAGAUGUUUUAUAUGACCAAGGACUUGGUGAGGUAUUUAUGAAAUAAUUUCCAUGCUCACUGUUUUUUCUCACAUUCUCAAACUCCAAGGAUGAUUCUUCAUGAAUGCUUAAAAUUCCUCUAGGAUUGUCUCUCAAGUUUGUUUUAUCCAUCCAUUCAAUGGUGAUAGCACAUGGAUUUUUAAUGCCCUCUAGCCAUUGAUGUUGCUCUUCUCGAUCCUCCUUGUGGUCUUGGUGACUCUUAUGCAUGGGAUGUCUAGAGAGAUUCAUAGGAUCAUCGGGAGGUUCAAGAGAAAGAGCAUAGUAAAAAUUAUUAGGCUCAAGGAUGGGUUGGAUAGCCGAAUCAUGGGAUUGGAAUGUUUGGAAAUUGGCUAUUGAAACUUCCUUUCCUCGUUUGGGAGAUGAUUCCUUCUCUAUCUCUAGGAUUUUUUUAUGAAGACUAGUGCAAGAAGGAUGUCCACGAAUGAAGACAUACCUUGCUUUACUAACAGAUAAAGAAAGAAAAACUCUACCAAAGGUUAUAUGAUUAAGACCAAUGUGAAAAUAUUGAGGAAAAACAUGGUCUUGUAGGGCUAGAUUUAAACCAGAAUUUAUAGAAAGAUUAAAAGAUUCCCUAGGUGUAGCUAAAAGUUCAUUAUCUUCUUGAUUAAAAGAUAGGACCUCAGCUAUAGAAAAGGGUUGGUUUUGACCUAUUGCAAUCAACUCCGGACACAGAUCAUAAUUAGGGGCAAAGAAAGGACUUGUUGACUUCCAUGGUCUAUGGCUGGUCUCCGAAGGCGCAAAAAAUUUAAUAAUAGGUGUGGAAUUUGAGUUAUCCAUAAAGAUGGAAAAGAUAAAAAGAUAAAAGAAUAAAAGUAUAAAAGUAUAAUACAAGAUGAUAGCAAGACUCAAAGUUAUCUCAGCAAACCGUCUUUCUCCCCGGCAACGGCGCCAGAAAUGCUUGUUGAUAUUUGGUAACGCCAUCAGGAAAUGAUCCGCAAGCGCACGGAUAUCGGUGAGCACUUCGCCCGGGAGAUUAUCCAGAGUAUCGUAUUUAUAUUUUUACCACUGAGAGAAAGCGUCCAUCUGACUAACCAAAUCUAUUGCUACUACCCUUUAGGCUACAAACAAUGUGAUUCGAUGUGAGUGAUGUAUAGAGAAGACUACAACCGUACUCUCGUUCUAACCUUGGUAAGGAUGAUCUACUAUUCUAUUGGGGAGGCUCACGGAAUCUAGACACCACAGAGGAUGUUCGACCCGCACCUAUAAACCCUAUCGAUCCUUCUAAUGGGAUGUGGGCUACAAAGGUAACUCGGAAAUGUCACGUUCCUCGCUACUACCACGGUCCAGCUAGACAGGGGAUAUCUAUGAGUACCCUAGCCCAAACACCACGUUUACGCUAGCAAUGAUUACUCUAAACUCAACCGAAAGAGAUUAAAGUAAACUCAUAAACCAAAGAACAAUAAGAACAAGAACUUACUAGAAUUUAGAAGUCGAAAUACUGAAGAAUCCUAGGAGCAAGCCUCGGGUUAGGAGACUUGAUCCCGUAGGUACAACCUCGGAGUAGACACCGACAGGCCGGGCUUCCUCCGAUCUACACCUCCACUCUAUCUCUCUCAAUCUAGAAGAACUUAGAAGAACUAAUUCUAAUCUCACAUUGGAUGCUAAGCCCUAAUUCUAUAUAGAGGAAAGGUUAUCCUUCAAGGGCACCUCUCAACUCUAUAAUGAUGUGUUCUCCUCCAGGGGCCAGGGGCCUUGCUUAUAUAGCCUCCUCCUUUUGUGCCUUUUUGGUUCAGCAGGCGUGUGGUACUAAAAUUUCCACCAUAUCUCAUUAAAAUGCACAUAGGCCUUAAUGGACCAAAAUCUGAUUUGGGCCCAAUUGCAGCUCUUUUAUGUGGAGUCCUUCUUUUAUUAAUAUCUCUUGAUUCCGAACUCCAAAUAUAGCAAAUAAUAUAUGCAUUUCGAUCAGCUCGACGAGAUCUUUGUAAUGGUGUACUCCAUUCUUUGAGUGCUGCUUGCACCAGGGUGGGCGCCCAAGGGGGGAGGGCGGGCGCCCUGCCCCGGGCCCGUUCGGCCUCCCGUUCCUUCCCGUGGCUUCUGGACUCUUCUAGAUGAUAGAAAAUUGCGCGGCACGUUAAUAUCUCUAUGUAAACCCAACGUGUGGGCCUUUCCUCCAUAUUUCCUGAUAACCCCCUGCAGAAAUAGACAAACACCAAAACUCGUGGAAUUCUGUCAGAUAAAACCCUAAGUUUGGGUGUUGGUUGCAUUUGGAUCCUUUUCUUUAUUCAUUUGAUGAUUAUAUUUGGUACUUAAGGACCGUCAACAGGCAGCUUCUCCUUUAAUAGCUUUCUCUUCCAGAUCAGUCUCUUCUUCCUUGAUGGCUUGCUAUUUUGUAUGUCGAGAGCGACGUCUCCUAUUCUUGUUCUUCUUGGGAUUCCCAUAAGUAGUAUAGCUAUUAAAGUAACAAAGUACCUUCUCCCUAGGGAAAUGGAAAUGAAUUUCCUCUUGCUUCAUAUAGAUGAUUGUGCUGGUGGUGUGAAGGAAUAGUCUUCCUAUGAUAAGGUGGACUUCAUCUUCAACACCCAUGUCCAGAACCAUGAAGUUGGUGGGAAUCUCCUGAUCCCUGAUCUUGACUGUUACGUUCGUGGCUAUUCCUUCCAGAAAUUGGAAUGAUUGUUCUGCUAGCUGCAACUACAAAUAUGUUGGGCACAAGGUCUAUCAUGAUACAAAUGUUUAUAUGUUACCGUAGACAUGAUGUUGAUGCUUGAGCCGAUAUCGCAGAACAUCUUGUAGAAGGUGCUCCCCUCAAUCAUACAAUUGAUGGUAGGUACUCUAGGGUCUUCUAUGUUCUCAAGGUGUGAUGGAGGAAAAGUAGGGUCAAUGGGUGGUUCAACAGUGUUGACCAUCCAAACUGGUUCUUGAACAUACUGCUUUGCUUUGCCCUUCCCCCUUCUUGUUGUUAUUCUUGUUUGGAGUAGGUAAGUUGCCCUCAUAAGUGUAGACAUUUUUCUUAACUGGGGUCUUCUUUUCUAGACUUCUCUAGAAUCUUCUUCUCUAGAAUCUUGUUCUUCUUUUCUAAGAUUUUGUAAAAGUCCAAGUAGUCAUACGAUCUCUGAGGAUGGACUCAGGUUGUGAGCAUAUGAUGCUUAAAGCUAAAUCUCUUCUUAGUAUUCCCAAUUAUGAAACAGAUCUUGGCAGUGUCGGCGUAGAUGAUGGCUUUGGCUGUGCUGAGGAAUAGUCAUCCCAAAAUGAUGGGUGCUCUAUCAUCUCCUCCUAUUUCUAUCCACAAAAUAUACUCAUAGAUACAAGUGUCCAACUUGUAUGAGAAUGUUCUCAAGGAUUCCCUUAGGGUAGCACAAAGUUUGAUGUGCAAGCUGUAAACACAUGGUUAUGUACAACAAAGGUUGACCACGAAUUUCUCAUAAAUUACCUUAAGCAUAAUGUUGACACUUGCUCCAAGGUCACAGAUGGCUACAUCGAAGGUGUGAGCUAUGAUACAGAUGUGGAUGACAUGUCCUCCUAGAUCUUCUUUAUUUUGUGGCAUAUCCCCUUCUUCCCAUGUAGGUCUCUAUGAUCUAGGUCGUGCGACGAAGUAUUCUCUUGUAUUGAAGAUAUCUACAAGAUUCUUAGUUUCUAAUUCAUCUGGAUUCCUGAAAUCUUACCUCUUUUGUCCAUUGGUACUAAAGCUGCUAGUUGAGAGAUUUGAGGUUCUAUCAUCUUGUUAAAGCUAAGCUAAUUUUUUAUGGUAGAAGUAAAGCUAUCCAUUCUAUUAUUUGUGGUUUCUAGAAUUUGAUCAUUGGAAGCUAUUUUUGUGGACACGUUUUUAGUAACUUUAUUCUGAUUAACAAUCAUCUCUCUCAAAGGUGGUUGGUUGAAAUUGUUACCUUGGUAGUUACCUGAGUAGUUACCUAGGUAGUUUGGUCUUUGUUGUUAAUUUCACCCUUGAUUUUGUUGGUUCCAUCCUUGAUUCUGUUGAGGAUGAUAGUUAAGCGUUGUUGUUGAUGUAGUUGACAUCCUCUUGGACUUUAGGAUAGUUGCUUCAUGUGUGGCUAGUGCCUCUACACUCUUCACAAGUCAUGUGGGAGUUGUGGAUGGUAGGUCUUCCAUGAUAGAAUGUCUGCAUGAGUAGCCAAUCCUCCAUCCCAUAGUGAGGGCAUUCUAAUAUGUAAUCUUGAAAGUGUUCCAAUGCCUUAGGGAUAGAUUCAUCAUACUGCUACUAAAAAGUUGAGAUCUUUUGCAUGUAGGGCAUAAGUUUGCCUACGGGAAAGAACUUUACCUAGGAAGCAGUGUAGCAGAUAUUCCAUGUAGUGUUUUUCUCUCUCUUGGCGUAGAACCAUCUCUUUGCCCUUCCCAAGAGUGAGAAUGGAAAAGGUGGAGUAGUAUGGCAUCUCUUUCAACUCCUUUUAUGGUGAAGGUGCUGUAGAUCUCCAUGAAGUGUUGGAGAUGGGCACUUGCAUCUUCAUGUGCUUUCCCACAAAACUGGUUGACUUGCACCAUGUUGAUCAAAGCUAGCUUGAGCUCGAAUCCUUCAUCACCUAUGUUGACUGUUUGACCAGUCUUGAUGUUGGUAGUGGUUGGAGCAGAGAAUUCAUGGAGAGUCUUGUUGGCCAUGGCUUUGAACACUGAUGUCAAACUCCUUCUUGGCUAGUCUUCUCCUGAUGAAGUGGUUGGGGAUUUCUUCUUCCUGAGCUAGGCUCUAGCUUUUUUGAUUAUUUUCUAUAGAUCCUCAACAUAGUUUGUCGGACAAAGAAAACUAGACAUACAUCACGCUUCCAUAAGAUAUUCACAAAUAGACAAAAGACACGGUAAGCGUGUUUGAGUAAAAGAUCAAUAGUGUGGCUCGAUUAUCACAUGUGUCAGACUUUUCCUAGAUUUUUAAAACAAAUCUAUUCUAAACCUCCUUUGCCUUCCUCGGUAAUGACACCAGAAAUGCUUGUUGAGAGUUCUUAGUGUUGCUUAAGUCAGGUUGUCAUCCCUAACAAAACACCAAAAAAUGUGGUUGUACUUAUGAUCACAGCACUAUAGAAAAUGAAUAAAGGUUAUCCACAAGCGUACAGAUAAAAUACACCCAUUGUAGCAUUUCACCCACGAAAGUUCGAGGUAUCGUUAUUUAUAAUGUUACCACUCGAAAGGCACUUGGAGAUAUGAAGAAUUAAAGCUAUAACUUAUACUUGUGAUAAGAGUUCCACAAGAUCAAUACUCAAAAUAGGGAUCAAUCAUAUCAUAAAUAAGGAUAAUUAAUAAGAGAUCAAGAUAAUCCUAAAAAGGGAUUCCAUUGACCAUUAUCAUAUUUGGUCAUGACUCUAGAAAGAACUAGAAAACAGAGACUAACUCCUAGGGUUAUUCUAACUAUAUGUGAUUGAGCUACAUUGAUUAGUGAAAUUACAUUUAGAAAUCAUGGUCAGAAUAACCUCACAUUUAUACUCAAGAGACAUUGCUAAGGUGGGUCAGGAACAGAGCAAGACCAGGAGCUCUCACCAACAGAUGAACCCGAACCCUCCUCUUCCAAGUAAGUUCGUCGUCACUUACUUUGAUGAAGAUAUGAGGUACGUUUGUCCAAGCCUCAUGCAACAUGUAACUACAAUUAACAUCUCAUACCAUAUUGCUAAUUUGUCUUGGUCAUUUCUACCCUACGCUAUGCUCAAACAUAACUUGCUAAUAUAUAUAUAAUAAAAUGCUCCUGUGGUUCACCAUAGAUAUUCUUGGUUCUAUGUGAAUAAAUACCUUUAGUCUUGCAAACUUCCUUAUUCUAUUAUAAGUAUACUUUAGAAUAUUACUUAAACAUUUUGAAAAUCAAGCAUGCUUAUAUAAGAAUUUAGUUGUACAUAUAUACUAACCCCUCCUACUUAAAAAAUGUUUAAAUUAUAUUAGGAGACUAUUCAUAGAAUCAAUUCAUGGUUAAGAGUAUGCUUCAAAAUAAUAUUCUUAUUUUAACCUUGAUAAAAAAAUUAAAAUAGUAUGGAAUCAUUGAAAACAUGAGCUACAAAUCAAUCUUUAACUCUUAGGCAAACACUAUCCAUACUUUGAUAAAUAGUAUAUUCCUUCGGGUAUGUGUUGUCCACUAACCCCUUGCAGAAAAGACAAUAAGAGAAGCAGAAGGUCUGAAGAGUGAGAAAGGAGUACAACAUACGAGACAAGAUGCUAACGAAUAACCCAUGAUACAAGAAAAAAAGAGAGACCAUUGAAAUCCAUUUACCCUUCAUCAUGCUCUAAUGGAGGUAACAUCUUAAGAUAAGUGGUCAUUAAUUUCCUCUUGAUCUUGGUAUGCAAUAAAUGAAAAUACAACCAUGUUAGAGUUACAACUUAGAUUGCUCAAUCUGAUUAAACUCAACAUGAUUUAUUCUCUAAGUUUGUUCAUAGCGGUAUUCUUGUAAUCUCAGUCUUAACCGAGUAAGCUAGAAGUACUUCGCCUAUUAUUCUUGAUAUAUUAUAAAUAUGCAUAGCCUUUCUAAUGGUUAAGUAACUUUACUCUUUAUCUCACAAGUUUAAAUAUCAUAUUUAUACUUCUAGUCCUCUCACCCAUGAUAGAAAUGAAAAAUAUGAAUAAUAUCAAUCUUAUUGUGCCCAAGGUUAGAGGAUAAAUAAAUUUCAAGUUCCGUUGGUGUUUUCCCACCAAUAGAGCCCAUGCACUUGAUCUCUACCUUGUCUUCAUGAAGGUUUUCAACAAGUUAUAAUGAUGCACAUAAGAUUGGCUUUGAGACGCCUACAACAGAAAGAAAUAAGGUGGCACCGCUAUUGGGAGCCACUAGUAGAGGCACCAUCUCAAUCCUUACCAUCAAGAGCAACUCAAAGUACUCAAUGAACCACUGCAAGGAGAAGUCCAGUUUGAAGGACUAAAAACAUUGGACCUUCACCGUAAGGUAACAUGAGUAGUUAUCUAUAUCUACUUCCUUACAUUGUAUGAGUUAAUUUCUCUUUAGUAUGUUUACUUUUCUAUAUUGGCAAUGCAUAGAAAUAACAAAAAUAAAUAGUCUUGCAUUAGGCUACAUUCAUGCAUCUUAAGAAAAUAUAUAUAUUAAGCUCCAUGUGAAACCCUUGUAGUGUAAAAGUUGUAGGAGUUCUCACUGUGGUGGCCUAUAGAAUAAAAAUAUAUAUCAUACAUUUGCACUUACGGUUUUCUUAAAAAAUACUUUGAAUCCAAAAUAUAUAUAUAUUAACUGAGCAUCCUGCUACAAUACUGUUUUCUUAAAAAAUACUUUGAAACCACCACAACACCCAAUCCUCCAAAAACGAUAAUCAUUAACAUUUUAUCCUAAUACCGUUCCACGAGUUUUUGUGUUUUGUGAGAGCUUUCUGCAGGAUGACUCCAAGAGCCAGCUUACCUAGGAAGCUUCAUCUUCAUCACUUGAGGUACACCUUUCUAACAUACAGCUGACCCCUGUAUGAAUGAAGUAACUUCUUGGGUGAUGAGAUUGAAGUAUUCCAGGCAACACUUGCUCUUAUAAGCAUGAGCUCCUCCAUGAGGCCACUCAGCUUCAACGAUCAACCAUAAGCAAACAUCUAGCUUGGGGAGAACAUCCACUAGCUAUCAGCACGGUUAGAAGCGUGGGAGAAAGAGAAUAAAGUUGAAGAGCUAGAGCCAGAAAAGAAAGAAGCAAAAGAGACAUAAAUGAGAUGGAAAAAGGCACGUGUGGCAUCACCAUGAAACAGGGAGAUGACUUAGGUUACCUCACACGAUGAACCCACUGAGUAAGUGUUCUCUUCUAUCUAAGUCCUGUCGGUAGACUUUAAAUUCCAUAUCCUAGCCAUAAGGUUAGAGUGGUAGUUAUCUCUUUAACUGCAUUUGUAAUUUAUUUAGUAGUAUAGUUUUGUUUACACACUAAAAGAUAUAAAAACAACAAAAAUAUUUACUGUACUCAUGGUAUCACAAGCCCCAUGUGGACACCCUAUGGUAUUUUCGGAAGGAACAUCCGCUGUGGUGGUAUACAAUAAAAAUGAUAAAAAAAAUAUAGCAUUCAUAUUUAAAUUCCUGCAUCAUAAACAGAAAAUUAAAAAAUAAGAGAAAAUUGAAAUCCUAUUUAAAUUAGACAACAAUAAAGCUAGCUCAUAAAGGUGAUCAAUUACUCUUUGGUUGACCGCUAACCUAUUAACAAAUUCGAGCCUCGAGUUUUGGUUUCUCUUUGUGGAGAGUAUUUAUGCAGGAAUAACAUCAAAGCAAGGAGAGAGUCUAUCAGUGGCACCCACUAGAUCCGCUACUGGUUAGUUCACUCUAAAGGACAUCUACACCAAGUAUUGCAACCAUCCAGCUUGAGGGAGGAGCAUCCCCUAGUUAUUAGAUAAUUAUACCUAAGUGAUUUUGAGUCUAUAUAGUCUUAAAAAUACCAAAAAUAUGUGGGCACAUGAAGGUCCACAAGUAAUAGAGUUUUUUUGUGAGUUUAUAAUUAGUUAAGUGUUAGAGUCCAUUUAGAGUCAGUCUAAACUAGAGCUAAACAAAAAAUUGAUGAACAUUACAAUUUUGUCUUGGAGAUGAUGAAUAGUUGCUCUGUUAUAAUUCUUUACAAGUACCUAGAUUCCAACGUUAGAUUCUCUCGAGUUUUGGACACGACUGUUUUAAUUUGAAGGUUUACUCUGAACCUGCAACCCACUAGAUCCGCUACUGGUUAGUUCACUCUAAAGGGCAUCUACACCAAGUAUUGCAACCAUCCAGCUUGAGGGAGGAGCAUCCCCUAGUUAUCAGAUAAUUAUACCUAAGUGAUUUUGAGUCUAUAUAGUCAUAAAAAUACCAAAAAUAUGUGGGCACAUGAAGGUCCACAAGUCAUAGAGUCUUUUUGUGAGUUUAUAAUUAGUUAAGUGUUAGAGUCUAUUUAGAGUCAGUCUAAACUAGAGCUAAACAAAAAAUUGAUGAACAUUAAAAUUUUGUCUUGGAGAUGAUGAAUAGUUGCUCUGUUAUAAUUCUUUACAAGUACCUAGAUUCCAACGUUAGAUUCUCUCGAGUUUUGGACACGACUGUUUUAAUUUGAAGGUUUACUCUGAACCUGCAACUUGUGGAGGCAUAAGUUUGAGCUAAGUCUAGGUAGUUGGUUGAUAUGAUCAUUGAAAGUCUGAGCUGCUAUUUAUCUUAUUCCUAGCAUUAUUAAGUUCUGGAGAUUUAUUUCGAAAAUUUAAAAUUUACAUGAUGAGCUCUUGUAUGACAAGUUUGAAUUCCUACCAAAGCCAUAUAUAAUACACAUUUAGAGUUAGGAAAAAUUGCAUAUUUAUGCUGCUUGCUUUGCAUUAAGUUUAGUCAACCUUUAUAGUAUACCUUACGAGAGUCUUGUCAUGCUUUUAAAACCAAGAUCACGUACACACUUCAGUUCACAUAUGCAUUAUUCCUACACUGGGAGUAAACACCAACAUAAACCAUACCCAUAGGAUAAAGCCCAUCAUUAAAGCCCUAAGUUCUUAUUGUUACCUCUCUGAUCAUUUAUUGUACUCAAAGGAUACAUGUGGCUAUGCAAAAAUAUAAAAGAAAAAAAAAGGGAGUAAAAGAUGGACAAGUGUCCCAGUAAUUAAAACAAUGGGUACUAGAUGCUCUCCUGUAGUAAUAAUAAUAAUAAUAAUAAUAAUAAUAAUAAUAAUAAUAAUAAUAAUAAUAAUAAUAAUAAUAAUAAUAAUAAUAAUAAUAAUAAUAAUAAUAAUAAUAAUAAUAAUAAUAAUAAUAAUAAUAAUAAUAUAAAAAUAGCCCAUGUUUUCCUGUGAAAAGUUCCAAGAUCAAAAGAGAGAUUUAUCCUCAAGGAGCAAAAGUAGAAGUAGAAAUUAGCCACAAAUACCACAAAUUCACCUAUCCACCAUAUUUCAUACACAUGCACACCUUGGUUUGAUUGUAUGCCUCGAUUCUCUAUAGAUCCAUUAGUUGACUUUACAAUACAUGUGUUGCAAGUAUGCCUAUCCUUGUUAUUGGCACUCCUAUAAGCUCCACCAUAUAUACAUUUAGGUAUAGGAGGCAUAGCAUCAUUAAUACCUCAAGAGAGAACCAUAAAUACCACAUACAUUGAGAGACUUGAGGGUGUCAUACAAUUAAGCUCUGAGUAUUAUUCUGAAAACUUACAAAAACUCUGGAAUAAUGGUUCUGCAAAGAAUUUGAGACAUAGUGCUUGACUUGAUUGUUCUGUCUUCUGAUUACUCAAGACUCAUGUCAAAGUUGUAAAGCCCCAUGGUUAAGGGUAAAAUGGGUAAAGUUUGAAGAUUAGAGCAGUUAUUCACUAAUCGAGAGGAGAAUCCUUGUUUGGGAGCAUGUGUACAUGGAAAGAAUAAAAAUAUUGUAGCAACUCUUCAUCCAAAUACAUAUACUGCUUAGGCUUGGUUUACCAAGGGACUAGCAAAAGGUAAGUUUGGGGGAAUUGUUGACGGUCGAUAACGUCAACUUUUAUUAGAGCUUUAAACCUAAGGGAGAACAUGAAAACACACUAGUCUAGGGUUUAAACUGACAAUUUCCACGAGUUUUGCAUAUUCUGUAUUUUCCAGGGUCUAUUUCCAAAAAAGCUGAAAAGAGGGAUUCAAGUGCAUAUUUACCACAAAACUUAUCCGCUACGGAAAAGAUCACAAACAGGACGUGGGAAGACUCUCGAAGACACCAGAAGAAACCGGGGGCCAGAGGCCGCCAGGUGGGGCCGGCCGGCCCCACCAUGGCACCGGCCAGCGCCCCCUAUUAGGGUUUUGGCCCCCCCUUCUGGAAGCUUCCUCCACCACCUCCAAGGAGUCAUCUUGGCCCUUGGUUAAGUCGGUUUGAUCCUAUGGCGCAUGUCGAUCCCACCAUGCUAUAAAUAAAGGGGCAGACCCCCCUCCCUGAAGGCAUCAAGUCAUUUGGAGAUCCAUUCAUCAAGAGCCUUCUAUAGUUCAUCAGAGCCUCUCUAGUUCAUAGUUUUAGCCUAGUUAGAUUAGAAGUAGAAGAGUUCUAGUUCUUCAGCGGGAUCCAGAGCCCCUGGCGUCUGUCUAGAGCACGGAGUUUGGUAUAGCUCUAGUACCUUUCUCUUAUUGUAUUCAUAUUAUGAUUCUUAUUGUAUUCAUAUUAUGAUUCAGGCAACAUUGUUCUUAAUAUCUUAUAUAUUCUUAAUUGCAAUAGUAAUUGUCUACUUUGAUUAUAUGUCUAGGAUAGUUGAUUUGAUCUUAUUGAAUCCAUGUAUUGCUCGUAUAGCAUUUACCCAAUCAAUUGGUGGGUAGAUGGUAGACAAUAUGUAGAUGUGGUGUCAAGAUAUCUUGUUUAUCUGCGAGGGCACCUUGAUGUGCCGGGUCAUGUGGUAGUCCGCGUAGGUGACAGCUGCUUUGAUUCCUCUGUAGUCCACCCCCCAUACAUAGGGCAAGCUUGGGUGCGGUCACGAAGGAGGUGACGGUUGCAUCUUAAAAUCCUCAUUAGUUGAUGCUCUUUACAUGUGAUCAUGAUAUAGGUUUGACUUAACAAUGAUUUCUAGAUGUAAUUGCACUAAUAGAGUUAUUCAUUGAUGUAGUUAUAGAAUUACCUUAGUAUUUCUUCCUGAGUUUAUCCAAUGGCUAGCUAUUGAUAUGACUAGAAGAGCUCUGAUAUUUAUCUAUUUAUGUUGACUGAUCAUUAUUUAUCUUAUAUCUUUUAUCAAGUGACUUAUCCCUAUUAUGUGUAGGAUUCUAGUUAUGGUUUACUGUUCACACCAAUAGCAUAAGUUAUAGUUAUAAGUCCUACAUAUAGACCAUCCAUGUGGAUACGAUAUUUAAAACCCCCUGGGUAAAAUGUGACAUUGGUACGAUAUCUGUGCGCUUGCGAAUAAUCUUACUUAAAUCUUAUUUAGUGGAGUGCAGUUAAUUUAUACCAACAAUGUUCCUGACCCACCUUAGCAAUAUCUCUUGUGUAUGGAUACAAGUUACUCUAACCAUAAUUGCUAGAUGUAAUUGCACUAAUUAAUGUAGCUCAAUGACCUAUAGUUAGAAUAACCCUAGGAGUUAGUCUCUAUUUUCUAUUUCUUUCUAGAGUCAUGCUCAAGUAGGGACUACAUCUUUUGGUAUUAUGUUAGGGAUAACAACCUAGCUUAAGCUGUCUGGAGAAUCCUGUUCCUGAGAAGAGAAUAGAGCUGAGAUAUUUGAUAAUCGAGUGCUGAUAAUAAAGGGUGGAGAUCAGAAACUUACUUGCUUCAGAGCAAUUUCACGCCUUUGACGAGGGGACACGGCCGGUACUAUAGGUUGAUCGGCUGGAGUUGCCGAUGGAACAAUGUCAGCUGAGAAAUUACAAGAAUAAUUAUAAUUUGUAAAGAUAAAUCCAUCGGUGAUAAUUCUAUGGUCAUUACUUUACCUUGAGGAGGUGCAGUGCUUGUUUGUUCUGGCGGAACAACCGAUGAUAUGAUCAGAUCAGCUGGAUCGGCAGUUUGCUUAGGUACGUCGGCUGGUGCUUAUUGUGGCUGGGGUGCUGGUUGAGGAGGGGACGGUACUUGUUGUGUCUGGAUUUCUGGUGAAGAAGGUGAUGAUUCUACAUGGAUCGGUGACGUUGGCUGAAGAGGAGGAGAUGGUGCUGUCCUCUGGCGUUUUGGCUGUGACUUGGUGCUCUUGGGGCCUUUUCUCUUGACUUGGCUAGGCUGAGGGGCAUCGGCACUUGUUUGAGUACUUCUAGUCUUUGCCGAUUUGCCAGUUUGCUAUUACAACAACCAAGAUUUCAUGAGUAAAAGUAUGAAAGAAUGUUGAUCAAAUAUUGUUAAAAGGUAAAGCUUACCGAUGAGGUUCCCAUAAAAACUGAUGUAUCCUGAAAAGAUUAUGUGAGUAUGGGAUAGAAUCGGUAUAAGCAAAGGAAAUCAAAAGUCUACCUUGAAAGCCUGCGCCAGGGUAGUAGCAGCAACUGAUGGGGAUGUCUUUGACCGCUUGGUGGUUAUCUUCUUAAAACACACAUUUCGAUGCAUUAAAGCUGCCAGACUUGGUGUGUUGUGACCAAUCAGAGAGAUUGGACCUGACGGGAGGAGUUCGAUCGGUCUUCCACUCCUGCUGACUGUCGGUGGUGGGUUGACAACCUGUUAAAAAGGAAAGAGUAAGUUACCGAUAGGAUCAAAAACAACGAAGGAACUGAGAUAUCAGUUGAAGACUUAUAGUGUUAUCGGGAACCUUAUAGUUGGAGUCGAUCAUGCCACGGUAUGUCACAGCUAAUGUGCAGAAUAGCUGCUCUUUCCAUUCUUCCCACCACUGUUUGUACGCCUGAGUGAUGAAGAGGGCCGGAAUCCAAGCCGAUAGAUCGAUAUCUAUCGUAUCGGCAUUUGGUUGAAGCUGGGCUAUCCUUAUCCACUCGAGCCCACUGGUUAUAGUUUCCCUGGGCUUCACCACGUCGGCGUAACAGAGUCUGAUCGGCAGCUGCCCAAAUGCCAGUUGACGAGCUAAUGCCGAUGGAUUGUAAAACUCGUAAGUGGGGUUAGAGUUUUUCCCACUACCAAAGGUGUUUACUGGGAUGGCCCUCAGAGUGAUGAUUGCCAUCAUCAGAUCAUUAUCUUUAUUAAGAGCAUCAUCAAAGGGAUGAAAGAUGAGUGGAAAUAUGGUUUCUGGAUCUUCAUAAGGCAUCCAUGCUCGUUGAUCUUUGGGAAGACCAUCAUACAGAGUCUGGAAGAAUCGGCUGACCUGGUCUUCAUUACCGCCAGUGCCAGGUAGUACUAUGGUAGCCUCACCGUAAUUCAAGGGUGGGCGAGUUGCCGAUUCUUCGUCACUCAGUUCAUGGUCUUCGGUGAUAUCUCUGGGGAAUUGUUGUGCAAAGAGGUCAAAUCGGAGGCGUUUGUGCAUGUGGACAUUAAGCCACAUGUUGAUGAACCACCAAGGACCUCCUAGGUUGCCAAUGGGUUGGCCUAACAGGAGCUUCUCAGCUACUUGAUGCAGGAGGUGAUAGGCAGAACCAAGCAAGUAUCGGCCGAGAGGAAAUCGGCCGCCAUCGGCUAGUCUUUCUGCUGCCGAUAAGUAGACAGAUGUUGGUCCUACCGAUCGGCCACAGAAGACGAACUUGUCUAACCACAUGUUCAGGAAAACAGCAUGUUCCCUUUCACCGACUGGUCCCGUCCUCUAAUACUUCUAGAUAUAUCAUGACCAACCGCCGAUGUUGCGGGUUUUUACUUUGCGCUCGGGUUUGCGGUCGUAUAGAUGGCUAUCAUCGGCAGACGAUAUGUCUAAACCAGUGAGCAUGAGCACAUCGGCAAGAGUGGGGGAGCAGGGCCAUGACCAAACAGAAAAGCAUUGAAAGUCUCUGACUAGAAGUAUGAAGCAGCUGUCAAUAGUGAUUCAUUUCUUUCCAUAUCGGCAAUGGAUAACCUAAUACACUGGUCCAGUUUGCGCUCACCCCAUUGGAUUUCGUUUGAGUUGCCAACCCUCAAAAACCAAUCUCUUCAUCCCUUAGUAGAACUGGGCCAAGAUCGGAAGGUAUCUUUCCAUAGAUCUAUAGAGAAAUUUUUAUCUCUAAAGGGGAUUCUAUUUGUCUCUACGUUGAUCAGAUCGGUAGGGUCCAGGUUACCCAAUGGCCUGAGACAUUGAAAGUGGGGUUGAUCGGUGGGAAUCACAAUUUUAUCUGCCAAUUCCUAAAGGUUUGAAGUUUGGAAGAACAGAAAAGGGAAAAAGAAAGAAAGAACGUACUCAGUAAAUAGAUUUGUAGAAGAUAAAAGUACGAUAAAAGAAAAGAAGAUAGGAUAGAAUUGACCUCAGGGACGGUGAAGUUGAUGGCCAUGUCCUCCUGAAGAGGGAGAAGAUCGAAGAUUUGAAGAAUUGCUGGGGAAGAUCCUUGCUGGAAAGAUGUCGGCGCCGGAAAGAAGGGUUUGGAGGAUGUGGUGAAGGAAGAGUACCAAGGAAGGAAGUAUUUAUAGGGUAAAGUGAACAGGGGCAAUUCUGACUUAUCUCUUUGCCAUAUCCGUGAAAUUCGAGGGUGAUCAGGUGGAUAUGGUAACUGUUCACACGGUAAUCAAGGGAUUGUGCAGGUGAUUUGACAGCAAGCGGUCAUGAUUUUGAAGAUAUUUCACUUUAUAAGAUCUCCUGGUCAGUUCAUCGGUAGUUUAUUCUAACGGAAAACUUACCGAUGAACGGAUAUUUAGGUGGUUUGGUUUGAGAGGUUGAAAGAUUCGAGGUGUGUGCUAGAGAUCUGGGCUGAGGUUGUUUGGAUUUAGCAAUUAAUGAUCGUCAGGAGGAAUUAAUUGCGAAAAGGGCGUUAUUAUUAGAGAGAAUUUCGGAGCAUUCAUGAUUUUAUACUCCAAAAUUGAGGGUAAGUGUUGACACCGUUUUUGGACACGUAUCUUUGGACCCGUAUCUGGGGAUUAAUGGAAUAAGUAUCGGUAGGUGAAAAGAGUGAUGAUUGGUUAUCAAAGGAAUUGACGAUAGGGAUUGAUGCCGAUAGCGAAGUAGCAGGAUGUGGCUAAGUCCAAGGAUGGUGAUUGAUCUAUGCCGAUGGCCGAUGCUGGUGGUUGAUUUAUGCCGAUGACUGAUACUGGUGGUUGCCGAUACCAAUGGAAGGUGGUUUGCCGAUUGCCGAUGAUAACAAGAGGCGCAGGAAUUGCUGAUAGGAUAGUGGUGAUGUGUCGAUCGCCUGUGGUAGGUAGAUUAAUGCUUUCCAUAGUUAUUAGAGUUUGUUUUGUAUAUGGAUUCCGUUCAAUUUGGAAUUAGAAUCCUAGUCGUGUCUGGUUGUAAUUCUUUUGAGCAGGGUAUAAAUAUAAACCCCGUAGCAAUGUAAUAGAUAUACACAAUCAAUCAAACACAAGUUUUUAUAUCUAUUUCAGCAUCUACUUUUUCGACGACUUUGUCACCUCGCGUAUUUUCCUUUUACUUACGAGUUCUUAGGAAUUCAUCGAGUCAACCUCGGCGAGUUCUCAAGUUCCGCGUGAAUACCUCAUGACCGUGACAUCCGGGCGCAUCGCUAUUGUCGGGACCAAAGUAUUCGAGUUAUCACCUUUGUCGAUUGUAAGGUCAAAUCGGUUGGCAUGCCUUAACAUCAAUUCGGGUAUUAGCCCUUUGUGUUUGCAGAUCUAUUUUUGCACCAACACUAAUUGAAUAAGUGCAUAGUUAUCCGCUCUAGAGCUUUAUUGAACUUGAGCUUCUUUAGUAGCUCACCUUAGCUAUCCUUAAUUGAAUAUCUUUACCUAAGGUUUAUUUUACCUAUACCCACCAACUCGACUACCACACCUAAGGAAUCACAGCCUGCCUUCCUUUGGGAAAAAAAUAAUUUCGACAUCUAGUACUCUUAGGUGUAGUUCUGUGCACUUGUGAAAUCCUUUAAAUACCAACACACAUUUUAGGCACAUUUUAGGCACCGUUGCUGGGGAUAGCCUAAAGCCCUAUCUUUGAUAAUAGCAUUAAGGACUAUCAACAAUGGCAAAGCAUUGUGAUCAAUGAUCCUAAUAAAAUUAUUCUUGAGCAAGGUAUCAAAGAUAUGAUCACCAAAAGUAAAGUCAAAGGUGUACUUUGAUUUCUUCAGCCAAUUCUUUUGUGGCGUCAGCUUUAAAUCUAGGAAAAUGAAUGGAUUAGAUUUGACAUCAAUCCAUUUGGCCACACCUUUGCAACUGCUUAUGGGAGGUUUUAGCUUUGACAAAAUCGCACUAUCGGCCUUACCAUAUGGAACAAUAUGUUGGCUGAUAGAAUCUGAAUUAUUUUGUCAUCAAAUAAAGUGUCAUUCUCAAUUGGUCUUUUAUAACUAUUUGCAAGGAUGUAUCUAACAGAUGUAGGAACUAAAAUAGUUUGACCGGGUUGGAAUUUAAGCAAACUAUUUAUAUCUUGUACCUUGUUGAUCAGGCUGGAGAAGUGCAUAUCCUUGAUUUGAAUAGUGUUGCUCUUCAUCUCUAGUAACCAAUCAACAAGAAGGCUCAAAUCACCCGGAAGCACCUUGACAACUACUGAAACAGAGGAAGUCAGCUUAGCCGACUAGAAGUCAACUAGGCCGACUUGGGCACUAGCAAGGGCAGUCGACUUAGCUAACUAGAAAGUUGGCCUAGCUAACUAUGGCAGGCGAUAGUCGUAGUUAGCCUAGCCGACUGGGAAGUCAACCUUGCAGACUUAGAAUUAGUAGGAGUUGGCUCAGCUGAUUCUAGGCAUCCCUCCUAUGUUGCUUGUAGAGGCUUGAUCUCCAUGAAUGAUGCGAUAAUCGCUAGAUAAGUGUAUAACCUCUUUAGCUCUUUCUGUUGUUUUCCAUGUUUUUUUGUAGCAAGACUUGUUUGAGAUAUGAUUGAUUCAGAUGGGAUAGCUUCUUUUUUCAUACUCAUGGCCAAAGACUUAGAUAUAAUUGGCCUCUUGCUAGUACUCCCAAAGUAUUUAUUUAUAAAAUCUUCAUUUUGCUUCUCAAGCAUUCUUUCAAACUCUAACAUUGCCUUUUUGAAAUCAAUGUCUGAUUGAGAAUAUUUUUCUGAAUUCUUAUUUAUUACAUGAGUUACUAGCAACAUAUGAAGAUGAAUCAUGAGUACAAAUAUUUACCCACCUUUCAUUGAUUCGGCUAGAGUUAGGAGCAACAUAUGAAGCCGAAUUAUGAGCAUCAAUAUUUGCAUAUGGUGCUAAAUUUUUUAGAGUAAUUGACUAAAUAACUAGUAUUGUCAUAGCCAAUUCUCUCAUUCAUCGGUAUGUCUUGUGGCGGAACCACAUAUCGUGAGCUUAUAGCCGAUGAAUAAGGAUUUACAUGUUGUAUGUUGCUAGUAAUAUCAAAAUUCAAAGAAUUUAUAAUUGACAUCGGCUCUUGAUCAUAGUAUUCAUAAUCAUUAUGUGCAUUAUGAGGAGCAUUAUCAAAAGUAAUAGCCAAUGUGACAUAUCUAGUAUCAUUACAGCUAGCAACACCAACAUAAGAACUCAAAGAACUUGCAAAAUAACAAUUGAGAUCAUAAGAUGUAUUUGCAAGUUGUACCUCAGGGUGAUUGUAGUAAAUUGUGAUGAAUCACCUUGGUACUCCAUAAUUUAGAGCUUCACUGCCUUGCUGAAUUUUUCAAUAGCAAGCACAACGCAAUGCAAAAUUACACGCAAGAUCACAGGGGUCAAAACCAGAUGCGAUCAGCCUUUUGGGCUAGAUGCAACGGUAAUGGUGAUCUCAAGAAGAUAGAGCCAAAGAAAAUUCUUUCUCACUGGAGUCACCAAAAAGUGUGUUGAUGUUGGAUGUGGUUUGAAUCACACACCAGCAGGGCCUUGGAUGCCUGGGCUGCCACAAAUCAAAGAUCGUAGCGAGGACCUCACACUUUCAUGGUGAAGAAUAGAGGAUUUACAAGCAAACCACCAAAGGAUAACCAAUGUAUUUGUGUGAUAAAGAACCGGCUAGUUUUCGAAUAAACUAGCAAAAAAACUGUCGAAGCUCUCGCCUAUGAGGGACCCCAUCAGGGCAAGGACAUCGUCGAGGUGUCCUAGGUCAGUCGGCAAGCCUAGGAUGCCAUCCUUGGUCAUUGAUCAAGGGAUGAAUAGCAUAGAGGUUGAAGAAGAGAGUAAAAGGGUAAAAUGAGUAAAUGUGUUUGUGUUUUGACGAUUAGAUAGAUAGGAAGUCAAUCAACCAAGAUCCUCUCAUAUAUAUAUAUAUAUAUAAAAGGAGUGGUCUUAUCCCAGUAGGAAAACUCUCUAAGACUUAUUUUUUUAUGUUUCCCGUGAGUUUGAAAGAGUUGUGAUCGAGUUUGGACUCUCCCUGACUAAAAUCAAAAGUUUUGGUAGGGGGUCAAAAGUUCUGAUUUUUAUAAAGCCAAAACUCCUAUAUGAAAGUACGAAGUUCUGGUAGGGGAUCAAAAGUUCUAGUCUUCGUAUAAUGGACAAUUUAGUUGUCAACAACAUGAACAUAACAGCCUUUUCUGCCCAUAACACUUUGAGGGCGACGAUGUUACACUGAUGCCUCACUCAGGCUGAAAGACAACAGCAUCGCAAGACAUGCGGGCCUAGCCGCCUAGGAGUCUUCUUGCUGCAUUAACAAGGAUCGACACGGCUUACUCUUUAUAGGCACAGCUGAACCACGCCACCUCAGUGCUAACGGCGGAAGCAACAGCGACCACUCUAGCUACAUUGAUUACAAAGUAGCUACAACUGAACUCUGUUACUUUCCUCACAAGCAAUGGCGGAUUACUACAACUCUAAGAAUCUUUCCAACCCUCUCCACUAGAAUAUCAAAAUCAUCACAGCUACACUUCUAAACACACUGUAGCAGUCACAGUUCAAGGUCCACAAGAUUCCAAGAAAGAUGAAUACAACAGCCAAUACACUUGCAAGACAGGCCUUCAACUCUAAUGCAUUUUCUACCAACUAUAGCUGCUCUACUAUUCUUGACAGAGAACUUCGCGCGAAAAUGGAAGAGUUCAAACUCGAUCUCAACUCUUCCAAACUCGUGGAAAACUUAGAAAAUAAGUCUUGAAGAGGUUUUCUACUAGGAUAAAACCGGUCCCCCUCUAUAUAUAUGAGAGGAGCAUAGUCGAUUGAGUUCUCAUCUAUCCAAUCAUUAAAAAAAUACAUCUACUACCUAGUUUUCCCUUUUCCAACCCUCAGCUGUUCGUUGCAUCCCUCCGCAAGAUUCAUUGGCAUUCUAGACGGCCUUGCUGGUCCUAGAACAACCCUAGGUGUGCUCCUCCUUGACGGGUCCUCCCGGGAGGCAUUCUUAGGCUUUUGCAGCGUUGGACGGACUCUAGAUCGGCCUAACCUAUCUCUAGAUCAGUUUAGUCAAUCCCAAGAGUUCUUUGCUGCGUGUAUCAGGUUGUUUGCAACCCCAGGCAUGCUAGCUCUUGUUGGUAUGUGAUUUGGAUCACAAUCCAACGUCAACAGGACCAUUCGAGUGGCCUUCUGACAUUAGCCAUUUACAUCGUAGCUAACGUUGUGCAUGGAUCCAAGGAAAGCGGGAAGUAUUUCCGAACAUCCCAGCUAACGAUGUGCAUGGAUAAAAUUAAACCAGGGGCAUGGCAUUUUUAGAACGUCAAGGAUUAUAUUACAAAUGAAGUAGUAGAGGCGAAACUGGUGGUUUUGCCGGUGUCUGACUCAACAUCUCGCCAGCCACCAGGUCAGGAUCCUAGAAGAUGCUUCCUAUCAUCAACACAUAUUUCCGAGGCACCAAACCUCAGGGAGUAGCUACGUUUUCCUUGGCAAGUGGAGCAAUCUCCUCGCCAUCGAUGCCAGCCUGACUUCCCUCGACUCCGAGGCCAAGAAGCACUUCCUCCCACUUCUUUGCAGGUCCCUGGACCAGAGAUAGAUGAGAGGUGUUAUACUUAUCUUGACAAAUAGUAGCUGCAUGUCAAUAAUAAACGGAAAACUUGGCAUAUGUGCCUACCUUCCAGGACAGGUCUUGCGCCAUGCAGUUCUGCACCAUCUCAUGGAAUGCCGAGGUGUCAUACUGUUUCAGGGCUCGUGUGACAGUUGACGCUACUGCUGUGACAUCAGCUGGGUCUACAGUUUCACACUACAAGAUAGAAAAAAUAAAUAAAUAACCAAAGGCUAUUUAUUAAGCCUGAGAGCAAUGAAUCAGUGGUUGCCCAUUAUUCUUUACCUCGACACUGAAAGAACCCAUGUGGAAUCCGGUGACACCCUCCUUAACCGUGUCAACAAGUCCUCCAGUUGAUGAACAGAUGGGGAUCUAGAAAAAUAUUUGCACUACUGAUGGUCAUUUUUGUUGCACUUUAUCUACAUAAAUAUGUUGUAUUUUCUAACAUUUUACAGGGAAUCAAGAUGUAAAAUGAUAACAAAAACUGGCUGCUAAUACUUAACUUUAAUAAUACUUGUAUUGUAACAAAGCAAGUUAGAAACUCUUACCACUCCAUAUCUCAUCCCUUGCAACUGAAUGAGACCACAGGGCUCAAACCUACUUGGGACAAUAAUGAAGUCCGCGCCAGCAAACAUCAUAUGUGCCAAUGGAACAUUGAAUUUCGCUAUGCCUCUAGCAUUGUUUGGAUAUUUCACUUCCAGCUGCGUCAAUUCCUCCUCCAUCUUCUUCUUUCCUGUGCCCUGAAGAGCAAAAGUUUUUUCCCCCUUAGCAAUCAUCAGGUGGAACUGUCAUGUGAAAGAAUAAGAAAUCACUUUUAAAUUGAAACAUACAAGAACAAUUAUCUGAACAUUCUCGCCCACAAAUUCUGGAAUGGCUGCAAUGAGUAUGUCAGAUCCUUUCUGUUCUUCAAGACGGC